rnacentral:lncRNA from 1 species
GUGUGGACUCUACAUGAAAACGACCAAACUCUAGGGCUGGAGGAUCCAAGAUUGACAGAGUUUGAUGAAACUGAAGCAACUAGAUUGAUAAGAGUAGCUCUCAUGUGCACGCAGGGAUCACCGAUGGCACGGCCAUCUAUGUCACGCGUGGUUGCAAUGCUCUCUGGAGACAUUGACAUAGGCAAUGUCAUGUCGAAGCCAAACUAUUUGACAGAUUAUGAUUUUAAAGAUGUAACAACAUCGUUAACAAGUAGAUUUUUGGUGGAGGAUGAUACCCCAUCAACUUCAUCCAAGGGUAGUAAUGUUCGCCUCAACUAUCAGUCGAGAGGCAGCAAUGCAAGUGGUGUUAACACUCCCUGGAUUGACCAUGCGCCUUCUAUAAACGUCACUCAAUCACUGCUCGUUGAAAUUAGAGGAGAAGGAAGGUGAUAAAUAUCAGGAACUGAUUUUCACAUGCUCUUUCUUUUGGUAGUGGGCAGGGGACUGGCAUGCCAGAUUUGAAUAUACCUUGGCAGAUGGAUAUAUAUCCUACUUAUUCAUACACAAUGUUUAUAGAUAUGUUCAUGAACCACCACCACUGGAUGGAGAUCCCACCACUAAAAUUUAAGAAUGUGUUCAGGGAAUUCAGAUAAUUUAAUAAGGCCUUUUUGGGUCUAUAAAUUGAGCCUUGAUGUUGAUGGUCCAGUUGCAGAAUAAAGAAGAAAAUGCCUUUUUGGGUCUAUAAAUUGAGCUUUGAUAUUGAUUGGAUGUGUUCACUAAUAUUUCAGAGACAAGUAACUUGCAACUUGGCUAGCCUACUUGAUUCAAUAUAUUGUUGGGAACAGCAAGAGGACUUGCUUACCUCCAUGAGGAGUCAAGGCCAAGGAUUGUACAUCUAGAUGUCAAAGCCAUUAAUAUUUUGCUCGAUGUAGAACUCCCCCCAAAAAUAUCAAAUUUUGGAUUGGCAAAGCUUUAUGAUGACGAGAAAACCCACAUCAGCACCCGAGUUGCAGGGACAAUGUCACAUUUAUACUUGCAUGAAAUUUUAAUACACAUCAUGUUAAUAAUGCCACUAAUGAUCUCAAGAAACAUUGUACAACCAUUUGAUUAUCUUGCAUUGCAGAGGCUAUUUGUCACCAGAGUAUGCAAUGCGUGGACAUUUGACAGAUAAGGCUGAUGUGUUUGGUUUUGGAGUCGUUGCUUUGUAGAUCCCUAGCGGGAGACCAAACUCUGACAAUAACUUAGAUCCAGAAAAGAUUUAUCUUCUUGAAUGGGUAGGAAUUGCAUUCCCCUAGCUUUAUUUUGGCAUUGUUGUGAAAAACUUAUUCACCCUUUCCUUGGACCAUGGCAUAAUGUUUUUCAGACAUGGACUCUACAUGAAAACGACCAAAUUCUGGGGCUGGUGGAUCCGAGAUUGACAGAGUUUGACGAAACUGAAGCGACUAGACUGAUAAGAACAGCUCUCCUGUGCACGCAGGCAUCAUCGAUGACGAGGCCAUCUAUGUCACGCGUGGUGGCAAUGCUCUCUAGAGAUAUUGACAUAGGCAUUGUCAUGUCGAAGUCGAGCUAUUUGACAGAUUAUGAUUUUAAGGAUGUAACGACAUUGUCAAUAGGUAGCUUUUUGAUGAAGGAUGAUACCCCAUCAACUGCAUCCAAGCAUAGUAAUGACCGCCUCAACUAUCAGCCCGAAGGCAACAAUGCAAGUGGUGCUAACACCCCUGUGGUUGACCUUGCGCCUUCUCCAGUAAACAUCACUCAAUCACUGCUAGUUGGCGUUAUUAGAGAAGGAAGGUGAUAAAUAAUGGGAAAUGAUUAACGCACACCUUUUAUCCUUUUGUGCACCCAUGUACUUGUCCCUGGGUCUUUUAUGCCUCUAAGGUUUUGGCUAUGAUGAUGUAUAUCUAAAAUAAGAUACGAUUUUAUAGAUAUUUGGUUCGAACUUACAUGUCAAUUUUGUGUUAGUAUGUUACGGUGUAAAUCUCCUCUUUUAAUCAGAAGGAAAAAAAUGGAUGUUUCUUUUUCUAUAGUUGAUGCUAUUCACUCCCAUUUUAAAUUCUCACACAGUUUUUUGUAAUUUUUGUCUUUAGGUCUUUUUUAAUUCAUUCGAUCCGACGGCCGAAAAUUAAGAAGAGUGGGUGGAGGUAAAAUAGGUGUGAAUAGUGUUGAUGCACAAAAUCAGCGAGGACUUUGGUACAACAGAAAAUGUCAGGUUUGUGACCUUCGCUUGGUCGCUUCGGUCACUAGUGAAGAUAAGUACGUAAAUGAAUAGGGACAGGGAAGCAAACACAAGAUGUACGUGGUUCACCCAGAUUGGCUACGUCCACGGAGUAGAGGAGUUCUCAUUAAUUGUGAAGGGUUUACACAAAUACAUAUGUUCAAGCUCUCCUUUUGUGAGUUCUAGUGAAUAGUUUAGUACAAAAUGAGGCUGGAAAUCUUUUUAUUAAAAUGAGAUUGGUGAGGAUGGAAAUCUUUCCUUUUGCCCUGGGAUUGAUAUGUCUGCUGACUUGGCGAAGCAUUAAAUGAGGCUGGGGGGUGUGCUGCUACCGUUUGGAAGGUUGAUGUCUUUUCAUUCGGUUGGAUCUGGCCUCCACUCCCUACUUGCUGAUAAGGGGUGACCGUAGAGGGUUUCCCUGGAUAUGUCCUUGCCUCAGCAGAGGCAUGGUUGUAAGCUUGUGCCAUCACCUCAGAGUAAGUCUUCCAAGUGUUGGCAUUGAUCAUGUACUUGAAGAUACAGUCACGUAAGCCUGCCGUGAAGGCCUUGAGGGCGGUCUUGUCAUCUGCCUCAGCGCAGCGAGAAUACUCAUGGCUGAAGCGGCCAGCGUACUUUCGUAAUAACUCGUCCAGCUUUUGGCGAAUAGUGUACAAGUCAUCUGCGGAAUGCAAGCGAUCGGUCUGGAAAAUGUGUUGAGAGACAAACAGUUUCCUCAACUCUUCAAAUGAGUCUACUGUCUCAGGUGGAAGACGGCAAUACCAGUUUAAAGCUCCGCCAGAGAGGGUGGAGGGGAAGAGAAGGCAUCGUUCUUCGUCGGUGUGUCCUCGGUAUACCAUGGUGGACUCAAAGAGGUUAAGGUGUUCAAUCGGGUCUUCCCUUCCAGUAUAGAGCUAUAAGUGAAGCUUCUGCUUUGUCUUCGCUUGGAGGGGAGUGUUGAGGAUCCUUCUUGUGAGAGGGCUAGGCCUGGGUUGGUUCCAGUCAGGUAUCUCGGCUUGACGUUCAGCCUUCAGCUUGUUUACUUCCUCAAGGAGCUGCAGGACAAGGGGGUCCUGAGCGGAGUCGUGCACCACCGAAGUUCUCUUCUUUAAGUCCCUAUCGCCUCUUGGAAGCAGGAAAGUUUGAUCAAGAUAGCGUGAUCUUUCUCUGGACUCGCCACACUGACUCCUAGAGUGAGUAUGUUGGAAUGUUUCCGAGUCCCUAGUACCUUCAUAUUCUUCUGGGACUUGUUGCCCAUUCUCUAGAUUGACGGCUAGCCUGGGUCGUGGAAGUGGACCGAGUCUUUCAAAAACCCUUGGGUCAUUGAUCUUCGAGCUUAUGUGGAUGGGAUUCUCUCGACGUUGCUUUAGGAAGUCUCGACAAUCGCGAUAGACAGCUUUUGAUCCUUCCACUCCCUAUGUGAGGAGGUGUUUUCCUCUACUUCUCCUGCUUCGGGUUGAAGCAGCUGGGUUGAGAGAAGUCUCAUGUUGAUUAUCACAUUGAUGUGUAGCUCGAUCCCUAUCAGGGAUGUCCGUGUCGGAUAUCGGGGACCCUCCGUGUUGGGGGGCAUUCAGUUGAUUGUUAACCUCAACAGGGGCGACGAACUUAUGUGUUUGAGCCUGCCUAGCCUCAUGAAGCAUCUUGAAAAGUUUUUCAUAUUGUUCAUGGAGGACUUCAUUCUUCAUCGCUAUCUUGUUGUUCUGAAACUCUAGCUCAUCGACUUUAGCUUGAAGAGUAACUCUAUUUCCUUCCUGCUUUCGUUGCUUCAUACUAGGUUAAGCAGGGGUGUCAUUCUGUGUGAUGUGGCUUCUUUCGCUCCCCAUGUCGGAGAGAGAUGCUUGGCCAAAAGAAAGUGUACGAACGGUGGAAACCAGCUUGACAAAGCUGAAGAGAGUGGGAGUAAGUGUCCUUCCCACAGACGGCGCCAAAUGUUGAUGCACAAAAUCAGCGAGGACUUUGGUACAACAGAAAGUGUCAGGUUUGUGACCUUCGCUUGGUCGCUUCGGUCACUAGUGAAGAUAAGUACGUAAAUGAAUAGGGACAGGGAAGCAAACACAAGAUGUACGUGGUUCACCCAGAUUGGCUACGUCCACGGAGUAGAGGAGUUCUCAUUAAUUGUGAAGGGUUUACACAAAUACAUAUGUUCAAGCUCUCCUUUUGUGAGUUCUAGUGAAUAGUUUAGUACAAAAUGACAUUAGAGAUUAUUGUGGGAGAAUGAUCCCUAUUUAUAGAAGAGAGUUUCUAGUUUUGUUCUAACAUGGACACGUGUCGUGUUGUGAUUGGCUUAUGAGGUUGACACGUGUCGCGCUGUGAUUGACUUCUGAUGUCGACACGUGUCGCAUUGUGAUUGGCCUUCUGGUUGAAGGGAACCUCUUCUAGGUCCUUGACGGUAUAAUGUUGACCGGUGCUCAGUAGUUUCGGGAUUGGUCAAGUAUGGUACAAACAAUGCUCCCCUAAGUUCCCGAGUGAGGGAAACUCCUCGGUUGGGGACUUGCAAGAUCCAAGCCGCUGAGUAAUCACGAAACUUCUAAGUACCGAGGUGUGGUAUCAUUUUCACUUGCCUUAUCUGUCUCCUAUGUAGAUGUGGCAUCUUCUCCGGAAGUACUUUUCCUCCAUCCAGGGGUGGUGUCUUUAACCGAUGAAGAUGCACAAGGUAAUGUAUCAAUUUCACUUGAAGCUUACUUGUAGUUUCGGGUUUGGUCAAGUGCGAUACAAACCUUAUAGUAGGAGUCCCUCAAGUCGCCGAGCUAGUAGAUCUGCCGAAAGAGGUGACAGACAAAGUAAGCAGUCAAACUUCCAAGCAAGCAACCCAGGAUCGGAGGUUCGACUUCAGCUUCCGGUUGAUUGUUCUCAUUCUCCUUGUCUCUCAUUCUACUGCCAGGAUAAGGAGAAACAAAUGGAUAAGAGAUGAUAUGAGAUACUUUUGCUUUUGAAGAAGUAACUUUCCACAGGCUUAUUCUUGAACUGUGCUGGAGGGUUUUCUGGUUCCCUCCAGAGUAUAAGGCCAACUCAAGAAUUUGAGGGUCAAAACAAGUCCAUCAAAUCUAGAGUACAUUCGACCUUGAUGAUAUGGGAUACUUUUGCUGUUGACGGAAUAGUGAAUGUGGUAUGGAAAGGUGUCGUGCUGUAGCGAUCUGUUUCAGCUCACCGUUGAACCUUCUGCUUCAAUCUUUUGCAUGGCAGAAGUGGUGUGCAACCUUUGCAUUUAAAUGGUCAUUCUGAACAUUCCUUCAUAAUGACUCAUCCACGCUUGGCAGCUUCAGUGUAAAGAGCCAAUAUCUGAUCAACUGUCAUGAGGUAUAUGCCGGUGGAAUUCGUGACCUUGACAGCAGUUGAGGAUGAGUACUCGAGAGCAAUGCUAAGUAAGCAACCAGGCAAAGGUUCCAGGCAGUCAGUUCCAGAUUGGAGGUUUGAUUUCAGGUUUCGACUGACUGCUCUCUUUCUCCUUGUCCUGCAGGUGUGGACAAGGACAAAGACAAAGACAGGGAGAAAGCAUGAUAUGGGAUACUCUUGCUUUCGACCCUGAUGAUAUGAGAUACUCUUGUUCUUGGUGUGGCUUAUUUGCUGAGGUAUUAUCGAGGGGAAAUAAAGUUGAGUAUUUCGAGAGGUUAUGUUGAGGGUGCCUUCUCGAAUGCGAGAAAUGGUUAAGCAUUUUUGCAGGCUUGUCUGUCCGUGGAGGAUGGAGGUCGACAUAUAUAGGAAUUUCCCCAUAGCAAGUAGUAAUGCUAUUCCUUUACCCUUCUUGGUCAUAGCAAUGUAGUGGGAGCUGUCAGCUUCACAUGUUUUAACUUUGUCAGAACACUUUGAAAAAGAUGUAUGUGGUAUCUGGAAAGCUGAUGUUGCGUGUGAAGAUUACAAACAAACUUUAUCUAAGGAAAUCUGGCUCUCGAAGUUCUGAGAGCUGUGCCUCUUCGGUUUUCGAACAAGCAAUCCCGUCGGGGAUCUGGCUCUCGAGAUUCGGAAAGCGGUGCCGCUUCGGCUUUUAAGAAAGUAAUUAUGUUGGGAGUCUUUUCUCGAAUGUGGGUAAAGGUUGGACGUUCUUGCCAGUCUGUCUUGCCGCAGAACACGGAGGUCGACACACAUUCUCCACAAGACCUUUUGAAGCAGGAGACUUUCCUUGGUCAGAUUUUUCUUAACAAGGACAACAUUUGCUACCUAUGUUGGGUAAUUGACUUCACGGACGAAGCCUAUGUCCUUGAGUUUUUCAACUUCUGCUUUCAUCGCCUCAUAUCGCUCAACAUCAUAAGAUCUUCGCUUCUCUUUUACUGGUUUGGUCUUGGGAUCAAUACUCAAGUGGUGACAGAUGAUAUCGGGAGAGAUGCCCGGCAUAUCUUUAUAUGACCAAGCGAAGACCUCGGCGUUCUCUUGUAAAAAUGAGAUCAGCGACAACCGAAUGGGUGGUGACAAAGUGGUGCCAAUCUUCACCAUGCGAUCUGGAUGGUCUUUGGAGAUAGAGACAUUCUCUAACUCUUCAGCAGGUUGUGCUUGCUGGGUGAAGGAGUCAUCUCGAGGGUCGUCGGGUUGACUGUUGCCAUCAUGAAGAUCCGAGUUAGCUUCAUCUGGACUGGUCUUUACUACCUGGUUAUGUACAGAGAGGGUCUCCUUGGGGACAUGCAGGUGUUGUUGCUUAACUGAAGUGUUGUAACAUGAUCGAGCACUAAGUUGAUCUCCCCUGAUGUAUCCAUUGCCGAAAGGGGUUGGAAACUUCAUCAACAACAUAUGUGUGGAUACCAUGGCCUUGUGAUCAUUUAUGCAUGUGCGCCCAAAGAUGACAUUGUAUGCCGUCGGGCAAUUAACCACUAGGAAGUUAGUGGUAAUAGUAGCUGUGUAGGGGCCUGUACCAAUGGUGAGGGGUAAAUGUAUACUCCCUAAAGGUUGCACGAUAUCGCCAGAGAAGCUUAUCAGAGGAGAAAUCGAGCGAUCGAGCAAGUGUUCAACUACAUUAAGUGCCUUGAAAGCUUCAGCAAACAUGAUAUUGACUGAAGCACCAGUGUCUAUCAGGAUUCGUUUCACAUCAAAAUUUGCUAUGUGAGCCUCCACGAUCAGCGGGUCGUUGUGAGGGUAGAUGAUACCUCUUUCUUCCUCAGGGUAGAAACAUAUUGGAUCCCAGUUAGGCUUUUGAUACUUGCCUCCCCUGAUGUCUUCCACGUGAAACACUUGAUGGCCAGGUCUCAAAGUUCGUUCACUGUUUUUCAUGGCCCUAUUGGAAGAUUCAAACAUGGGUGUGCCGCCGCUUAUGGAAUAUAUCACAUUCACCUGGCGUUGGUUACGGUUAUCCCUUGGAGGGUGAAGGAGGAACUGAUCAAUUUUUCCGUCACGUGCCAAAGCUUCAAUAUGAUCACGGAGGAUGAUGCACUUCUCGCUAUCAUGGCCAUUAUACUCGUGGUAGCAACAAAACACGCAUGUGUUCUUCGUGGACUUGUAAUCUGGCUGUCUUGGCUUUGGCUUUGGUAUCAGGUGAGCUAUACUGGGGUAGAUGGCCACGCAUGUAGCGUUCAAAGGUGUGUAUGUCUUAUACCUCGGGGUAGGGCCUGUCUUGACACGCGAUUGGCCCACUGCGUUGACUGCCUGGGGAUGGGUGUUAUUGUGACGAUAUACUGAGUUAUCGCGAUAGUGCCCCUUAUUCUUUUUAUUAAAAUGAGAUUGGUGAGGAUGGAAAUCUUUCCUUUUGCCCUGGGAUUGAUAUGUCUGCUGACUUGGCGAAGCAUUAAAUGAGGCUGGGGGGUGUGCUGCUACCGUUUGGAAGGUUGAUGUCUUUUCAUUCGGUUGGAUCUGGCCUCCACUCCCUACUUGCUGAUAAGGGGUGACCGUAGAGGGUUUCCCUGGAUAUGUCCUUGCCUCAGCAGAGGCAUGGUUGUAAGCUUGUGCCAUCACCUCAGAGUAAGUCUUCCAAGUGUUGGCAUUGAUCAUGUACUUGAAGAUACAGUCACGUAAGCCUGCCGUGAAGGCCUUGAGGGCGGUCUUGUCAUCUGCCUCAGCGCAGCGAGAAUACUCAUGGCUGAAGCGGCCAGCGUACUUUCGUAAUAACUCGUCCAGCUUUUGGCGAAUAGUGUACAAGUCAUCUGCGGAAUGCAAUCGAUCGGUCUGGAAAAUGUGUUGAGAGACAAACAGUUUCCUCAACUCUUCAAAUGAGUCUACUGUCUCAGGUGGAAGACGGCAAUACCAGUUUAAAGCUCCGCCAGAGAGGGUGGAGGGGAAGAGAAGGCAUCGUUCUUCGUCGGUGUGUCCUCGGUAUACCAUGGUGGACUCAAAGAGGUUAAGGUGUUCAAUCGGGUCUUCCCUUCCAGUAUAGAGCUAUAAGUGAAGCUUCUGCUUUGUCUUCGCUUGGAGGGGAGUGUUGAGGAUCCUUCUUGUGAGAGGGCUAGGCCUGGGUUGGUUCCAGUCAGGUAUCUCGGCUUGACGUUCAGCCUUCAGCUUGUUUACUUCCUCAAGGAGCUGCAGGACAAGGGGGUCCUGAGCGGAGUCGUGCACCACCGAAGUUCUCUUCUUUAAGUCCCUAUCGCCUCUUGGAAGCAGGAAAGUUUGAUCAAGAUAGCGUGAUCUUUCUCUGGACUCGCCACACUGACUCCUAGAGUGAGUAUGUUGGAAUGUUUCCGAGUCCCUAGUACCUUCAUAUUCUUCUGGGACUUGUUGCCCAUUCUCUAGAUUGACGGCUAGCCUGGGUCGUGGAAGUGGACCGAGUCUUUCAAAAACCCUUGGGUCAUUGAUCUUCGAGCUUAUGUGGAUGGGAUUCUCUCGACGUUGCUUUAGGAAGUCUCGACAAUCGCGAUAGACAGCUUUUGAUCCUUCCACUCCCUAUGUGAGGAGGUGUUUUCCUCUACUUCUCCUGCUUCGGGUUGAAGCAGCUGGGUUGAGAGAAGUCUCAUGUUGAUUAUCACAUUGAUGUGUAGCUCGAUCCCUAUCAGGGAUGUCCGUGUCGGAUAUCGGGGACCCUCCGUGUUGGGGGGCAUUCAGUUGAUUGUUAACCUCAACAGGGGCGACGAGCUUAUGUGUUUGAGCCUGCCUAGCCUCAUGAAGCAUCUUGAAAAGUUUUUCAUAUUGUUCAUGGAGGACUUCAUUCUUCAUCGCUAUCUUGUUGUUCUGAAACUCUAGCUCAUCGACUUUAGCUUGAAGAGUAACUCUAUUUCCUUCCUGCUUUCGUUGCUUCAUACUAGGUCAAGCAGGGGUGUCAUUCUGUGUGCUGUGGCUUCUUUCGCUCCCCAUGUCGGAGAGAGAUGCUUGGCCAAAAGAAAGUGUACGAACGGUGGAAACCAGCUUGACAAAGCUGAAGAGAGUGGGAGUAAGUGUCCUUCCCACAGACGGCGCCAAAUGUUGAUGCACAAAAUCAGCGAGGACUUUGGUACAACAGAAAGUGUCAGGUUUGUGACCUUCGCUUGGUCGCUUCGGUCACUAGUGAAGAUAAGUACGUAAAUGAAUAGGGACAGGGAAGCAAACACAAGAUGUACGUGGUUCACCCAGAUUGGCUACGUCCACGGAGUAGAGGAGUUCUCAUUAAUUGUGAAGGGUUUACACAAAUACAUAUGUUCAAGCUCUCCUUUUGUGAGUUCUAGUGAAUAGUUUAGUACAAAAUGACAUUAGAGAUUAUUGUGGGAGAAUGAUCCCUAUUUAUAGAAGAGAGUUUCUAGUUUUGUUCUAACAUGGACACGUGUCGUGUUGUGAUUGGCUUAUGAGGUUGACACGUGUCGCGCUGUGAUUGACUUCUGAUGUCGACACGUGUCGCAUUGUGAUUGGCCUUCUGGUUGAAGGGAACCUCUUCUAGGUCCUUGACGGUAUAAUGUUGACCGGUGCUCAGUAGUUUCGGGAUUGGUCAAGUAUGGUACAAACAAAUAGCACCACCCUUUUCUAUCUGAUAGCCAAGUAUGUAUAAUAAAACAUAAGCAAUCUUAGUAGAUGCCUAUAAAUAAAAGCCACAAGUUGGCUCUAGAUUAGUUAUUGUCAAUUGUUGAUUGAUUACGGUGUCACCCUAAUGUGACUCUUUGGUAGGGUUUUUGCAUAAGCCAACUCUUUUACAUGAAUGAUUAUUAAUUGUUGGUCGAUCAGUGUCACCUGAGAAAAUCUUUGGUUAAAUUGCUAUGCAAAUGUUGCCUUUCUCACAUGAGUGGUCUCAAAGGUGGGGCCAGGUAAAACCAAAAUGUAAGGAAGUUCAUGCUCACCAAAGCAAGACCAACCCGUUUAAGGCUAUGGUGCUCGUCUAGUUGUCUUUGUGCCUUUUUUCUUUACAUUUGGAAGUACCAAUGCCAGGUCACUUGAGGCAACAAGUCCAGCCCCACAUUUUAUUCGUUUCUAUUACCUCCAUUGAAAGUGACCGUUAGAAUUUGAUCGUUAUAAGCCUACCGUUUCCAGUCCCACUUUUUUAGUUCUUGUCACUCAUUUUGCUCCUCUACAAAAGUAUUAAUUACAUGUAUACACACACACACACACACACACACUUAUUAGCAGCACAUAUACACCUAUAUAUAUACUGUUUCUUAGUCUCAUCAGAACUCAAAGAAAGAAGGAGAGCUUUGGAGAAGUGAAAGUACUAGCAUAAACUAGAAGAACAAAGGGAGACAUCUUAAUCUCCCCCCAGAAGCUGAAGUUGUUGCCUGUCAAGAAGUGUUUGUAUGUGGUCAAGGCAAGCACCUUCUUGACCAUCUUAUCUGGCUUCAAAUUCUCAUUCACUACCUCUUCUAGAAUCACAUCGAACACCUUCCCGAAAUCAGUUGUCCAGUCCUGGCUUUUGAUCAAAGUCUGCAUAUAUUCGGCCCUCGAAUUAAGAUCCUCGCCUUGUAUCAAAUGCAGGUGAGGGUUUUUGCUUUAGGUGACCACAUUUCCCUUCCAUGGCUCGUCACUCAAUUGAAGCAACAAAAGCCCCAAAGCCAAACUCGCCGACAAGGUGUUGUCGACAUCACACAGCCAACCAAUUCUUCUACUUCCGCUGCUUUGAGUAGACCUCCAUCACUUUCUUCCACUUAACAUCAGCCUCCUGCUCGAGCUCAAGUUACUUGAUAUAGCUUAAUAUGUCAUGCGAAAGCAGCGCUGCAUCGCCAGGAUCAACCUCAUUGGCUGCAGCCAGUUGCUCUCGCUUGUACUCCGCUCUAUAACCCCACCGGUUGGCAGGUUCCCAGCCCUCUGAUGCCAUAGUUUUUCUUAAGGGCGACAAAACCUCCUUCUUCAGUCGGUCAAUACAACAAAGACUACCAUCCCCUUCUCAGAGGCAUGAUUCUGACGGGAAAACCUUCCUUGCAAUGUUUUCGAAUAGCAUAUGAUGAUCAGCGAUGGUAAGCAAAAAGGUAGCCGCUUGGGUAAUCUCCAAGCAGUAAUCAUCAUGAUGGUCAUGGUCCUUGUGAUGAUGAAUUUUUUCAAUAUCAGACUUAAGGCACGGCAAAAAUAUCCAAAACACACACAGUCGUGCAAUAAGCGAUAAUCAGCGUCGCGCUCGUAUCUCUGAGCCGCCUUGUUGGCCGUGUGGAUCGCCUUCCUCCUUAACAACAAUUCGCUUGCCUUUGAGUUGACGUCCUUUUCCUUGACCUUCACCAUUCUGUUUGAAUCCGCCUCCUCCCUCGUCCUCCCAGUAAAUUUCAAGUGAGCUUCACCCCGUAAAACCUGCGAGAGAAUGCAAGGAAGGUCUAGGAUAUGUCCAAAGGAGCCGGAAAUUGGCACAAGAUUGUAGGCAAGGGUUUUGGGGUGGUUCUGGUGGAGCCAAACUGCUACCGUGAAGAAAGCUUCGUCUUGGUUGCAUUUUCCACCGUCGCUGCAUUUGUCUAUGAAGUUGCAAAUGAGUUUAUGGGUGGUUAGAGGAUUGUGCCACCAGCCGAGGGAAACACUUGGUUCAUCAGAGUUUUGUGAAAUUCCACGGUCGACAUGGCGUCCUUGGCGCAGUGGAAGUACAGAUCAACGCAUGGGUUGCUGAUGUUGUGGAAGCCUAAUUGGGGUUGUUUGAAUUUGAACUGAUCGGGCCGCAGUGAAGCAAUUCUUGUGAAUUGCGGUCAAACGACCUUGUUUCGGCAUGCUUCCAGAAUCGAUAUCACUAGCAGGAAUGCUCACGCUUUGUUGCGGGUUUUCAAACCAUGGAUAAUAUUCGUAGAAAAAUUAACUGAAAAUGCUGCAAAAAUACAAUCACAUUCUUAAAUGUAGCAAUUCAGACAACACACGUUUCACAUGAGUAACGCUCACAAAACCACACAUUUACACAAUUAUCUCCAAAUGAAAGAAAAAGCAAGAGAUAGGUGAAUUGAUCCAUAAAAUGAGUAGUUCAAUUUACAUUGCUACUAUCUUGUAACUUAUUAGAGCUUCUUUGCAGACCAAUCAUAAUGAUUUCUUCAUUGCUUUCACCAAAUAUUUCUAUAGUUCUACUCUAGUAGUCCAAUUGACAGAACAAAUAGCAAGUGCGAUUUUAUUCAAUGCUUUGAAUGUGUUGUAAAGAUAAUACCACCAACUAUGGGUGGCAAUUGAUUCUUGUGAUAACAUACUAUAAAGGUAAAGGUAUGGAUAAAAAAGAAAAUGCGUCCUUUGAAAGAUAUAGAACAAACUUGAAAUUCAAUGAAUUGUUCUUUUACAAAGCGCAUCACCAAACUUGAUUUCCCCAAGAAGCACCUAAAGAAGAACAUCAAACAUCACUGUGGUGAUCAUGACAUGCAAUACCCAAAGAAAAAUAAUUUAAGAAAAAAUAAACCUAUUCAUCACACAAUGCUAAAAUACAUAUGCCUACAUAUCCAUAAUUUCUAUGUUUACGGAACACCUUUCGAUAAGUCACAACCUUCAUUUUAAAAUGGACUUUUGUAUUUGUAUUUUGCUUGUGAGUAUGGUCUUGGUUAAAACUUCGCAUUCUAGCAUUUACUUAUAUGAUAUCAUAUAGCAAGAAAGCUAUGAGACCCAAGUCACAAUUUAUUGUAUUCUCAUAGACCCUCAAAAUACUAGAGCUAGACAAAGAUAAACAACACGAUAGAGAAACUUCUGCUUUACAUGUACAUUGACAUUUGCAUGUGCAAAGCUCUCUUUCCUCCUUUCCUUUCUUUUCUUCCUCACCUUUCGAAUCUUUCUCCUAGAUUAAGGAGAUUGUUGUUUUGUUGUUAGUGGUUGCCAUCAUCAUCACAUUGAAAUCAACUUUAGUUAAUACUAGCCUCCUGCACGCGCUCACGGGCGUGCGGAAGGCCCUUUUGUAAUUAAGGCAUUCUACGUGCGACUUAAAUAAUUUAAAUGAUAACAAAAGAGCGGUUGCUCUCUGAUCUAAUUGCAGACACAAUCUGCAGAACCGUCUUCUAUGGGAUUUGAACUUGUGAAGUGUGAGGUGGAGACCUGAAUGUAACAAAUUGGUGUUAAGUGAAUAAUUCCAAACAUAUAAAAUUUAGAUCAUCACACCGAACGCAAACAGAACAAUUAAAUAAACAACUGAAGGCAUACGCAAUCUAAUUAGACAAAUAAGUGAACUUUCCCAUGCCGAAAUCUGAAAGGCCAACAGAAAUAUCUCAUUACAGCACAGAAGACAAAACUUAGGACAAAACUUAAAACUAAUCAAACUUAGGUGAACCAAUUAUAGAGAACAUAACCCUUGUAACCAAUCGGGAAAAGAUGCUUUUAAAUCCCAGAAAAAAAAAUUAAGAGGAGUUUUUUAAAAAACCAUCAUUUCAAUUAUUUUCCAGUCUUACAUUUGGAUUAAACAGAAAAUAUAAGUAAAAAUGCCAACUUUCUAAAAAAACUACAACUAUUUUUACAAAUUUCCAUUACCCAAUGCUGAAAAAUGAGAAUCACGAAGCAAUGAAGAACGGAACACGCGAGAACCAAAAAGUUAAAAACAACACGUAACCAUUUCAAAGACCCAAAAUCCUGCAAGGACAAAAAAAUCCCAUAAAAUCAGUACAUCAGCACUCCCUGCAAAACCCCAAAAUCAGAAAAUUAUAAAAAGAACCCAAAAUCAGUGGCAUGGUCCUCGUUUCUCCAUCAUUCAGUAGCUAAUGACCUAAUGGAAAAGAACCCAAAACAUACAGCUUAAAAUAUGGAAAGUGCUUAUAAAAGCUCAUGAAUAACGUUCAAAGCCUGCAUAGAAAUGGUAUAGCGCAGAUAACAACAAACAAUAAAACUAUGCACAGUAUAACCUAAAUCCGAUAUGUUGCAUUCCCCACACACAGAUUGUUCAAAAUUAAUUUCGUCUCCGUCUUUUUUCAAAUCUGAUAAAAUCCCCAAAACACAAAAAAUAGCAGCUAACUAUUUUUUGAACUCUGUAAACAACGAUAUGCAUCUUAACCCAUUUAACAUAUUCAUAAAAUAACAUCAAACACAUUUAUGCAUGAGAUAAUAUAGAAGUGAAGUCUCACAACUUUCAUAAAAAAUUAUUACUUUGUUAGAGAAAGGCUUGAAAAAAUAUGUAAAUUACUCACCUCUAUUACAAAAAUGUUACAACAGUAGACAAAAAAGGCCAAAAAUACCAAAAGCCGCACCUCCUGAAAUAAAAAACAUAACCAAACGACACAUUCUCAGUAUCUAAACGAUAUCCAGAAAAAAAGAAAUGAACAGACGAAACCCAUGUAAAUAUACAGAACAAACCAAAAAAAAAAAAAAGAACUGAAGCCAGUAAGAAGAUCACAAAUCUGAUAAAGCAAAAGGUAACAUAAUCUAUAUCGAUUUAAUUAUCCAUCCAAAAAGACAUUUGAAUGAAGAACAUUUUUAAGGAUCCAAACAACCAUUAAACUAAACAAUUAAAAGUAAAAACAGCAAAGCAUUCAUUGAAGAAAUAUAUAUAUAUAUAUAUAUUAUAACGUAUUUUGUUCUUUAUACCUAAAAGAAAAACAUUGGCUUUCUUGUAUGCACUGAAGUAUGCAUGUGUCGGAAAUUUACAAUCUAUAGAGACUCAAUCUCAGACUCAAAAAGACAUCUAAAGGAAAAGUAAUAAGAAAAAUAAGUAGUGGUUUUACCUAUACUCCAUGUGUGGACUCCAAUUUUCAAUCACAAUUCAAAAUUCAAGAGGCCUAUAAAUCAACCACAUAGGAAAUGAUCAGUGGAAGAAAAAGAAAAACAACUGAAGCCAAAAUAGCAUCUAACAAAUCAUUUAGAACCAUCACAGAAAACAAUUUUUGCAUAUAAGUAAUUUAAAGGAAUACCAUCAGGUCAUGCAUAUAUACAACGUACCCAAUUAGAUAAGUAGCACAUCAACAAUUGAUGAUCAAAAAGUUAGUCAGCCUCAAUUGCUUGAAUCUAAUUAACUCAAAGAUAAUAAACAGUCCAUUUAAUGCACGGGCUGACUAUCAAUUUUAUAAAGCUAUAAUUCUGUGCAGUUCAAAAACCAAGUGGAAGAAUAGGCAAAAACUAUCUCAUCGCCUGUAAAUGUAAUUAACUAAAUAUUAAACUUCACAGCCACAAAUAAACCUAAAUUCCUCCUAAAACUAUCUCAUUUAAGCUUGAUUUUACUAUAAUCUAUAAGUGUGGUAAAAAAUGGGAGGCCAAACGAUUUGUUAACAAAAAAGGUAGACAUAAAAGUAAAAGGAACAGGGCAGACAUUAGUUGAGGAGAAGCUAAUGUCACCUUGAAUUGACGACAAACAGUUCUUAUCUUCUCGAAUUAACGAAGAUAAGUACCAUUUUUCUUUAAUUCAAGGUAAUAUAAAAAGAAAUUAUACCUGUACAGUGUUCAGAUGUAGCAAUCCUAUGCAAUCGGCCAAAUGAUGUGUGUCCUCUCAAAGAUCUGUAUAUCCAUUACAGACUAAUCUUCAGUCUUGCAGAAAAUGAUAUGUUGACUACAAUUUCCCAUACUACUAAAAAACACAAAUAAUUCUAUCUACAAACCAAAUAAUAUGUGCAACUUUAUGCUACAAUGGUAGAAUAAGAUGGUUGUACAGGACGACACAAAGAUUGAGACUUUUUUUUACUUCUAAAAUUCUACACACUUUCGAGCCCUAAAUUUUCCCGGAAACAAAAAAAAGUGAAAGAAGUCGUACCUGGUUUGAGAGAGUGGGACACCAUCGGCGAGUUUGGUGUAGCAGUGAUGGCGGAGAUCUCUGGUGAGAAAGCUAAUAAGAUGGACAAAAUCAUUGAACAAAAAAAACCUCGCUUUUUAAAAUUAAAGUCAACAAAAAUUUGAACAAAGAAAAGAGAACUCAAACCCGAAACAAAUAAGUCGGAGAACUCGCCAGGAAACCCAAAGUUUCUGCAGGAUUGGCGAUUUCCUGAAAACCAAGCUUUUGUAGGUUUAAAAUUUCUUCCCUAAGGCAACAGAUCCAACAUUCCCAACUUUAGCUAUUUCAGCUACAUAAUAGAAAGAAAAAAAAAUUUAUAUAAUUAACUAAUCUGAUUUAAGAUUAAUCGAAAAGCUUGGAAAUUUCAGCUUUAAAAUUACAUGUCAGGCUGCAAAUCUAAUAAAAAGCGUAGAAUUUUAAAAAUGCUGACCUUAAAUACAGAGGCCUUCGCAGGCUGCAAAGAAGCGUUAGAAACCCGAAAAACCGGAUCUCCUGAAACCAAAAACAAAACCAAAUUAACCAUCAUCACCCAUAAUUCGAAGCCACAAACAUAAUCCCCAAAAUUACAACCCAAAAAUUUAAACAAAAAAACCCAUUUAUAAAUCCAAAUUUACACUCCCAAGUGCAAGACUCUAAGCUCCAACUGUUCUUUCUCAACUUUAGCUAUUUCAGCAACAUAACAUAAAUAAAAAGGUCGUACCCAGUGCACAAGGCUCCCGCUUUACGCAGGGUCUGGGAGAGGUGAAUGUCGGCUAGCCUUACCCCCAUUUUAUGGAGAGGCUGCUCCCAAGUCUCGAACCCGAGACCUACCGCUCAUGGGCGAAGACACUUGCCAUCGCACCAAGUGCGACCUCUAGCAACAUAACAUAAAUAAAAAGAUCGUACCCAGUGCACAAGGCUCCCGCUUUACGCAGGGUCUGGGAGAGGUGAACGUCGGCUAGCCUUACCCCCAUUUUAUGAAGAGGCUGGAACAUAACAUAAAUAAAUAAACAAAAUUAAUUUAACUAUAAUUAACUAAUAUGAUUUAAGAUUAAUCAAAAAACUUGGAAAUCUGCUUGAAUCCAAUCUCAAAAUUGAAAACGAACACUUCACUUUUACAAAAGUUGUACAAAGCAAAAAAAAAAAAACAGACAAAUCAAAGUCUCACAAAGGGCCACAACGACAGCAAAAUUGCAACAGAAAGAGGAAAAAUGUUCAAUCAAACCAUUGGAUAACUCUUCUAAGGCAGCCAAAAAAAAACCCACAAAUUCAAAACCACAAAAAUCCAAUCUAAAACAUCGAUUCACAGACUGAGAUGCACAAAAUGAUAUAUUAACAAAUCCAAAACGAAAUACAAAAAUUAAGAACCAACAAGCAAAAAAAUACUGAUUAUCCCCUGCAUACGUGAGCACACGUUCAAAAAGCCUCUCAAAGGCUGAGAUUCAACUUUCAAACAUAAAGACUUUAAGCCACAAUUGUUCUUUCUUAACUUUAGCUACUUCAGUUACAUAAUCGGAAAAAAAAAAUUAUUUAAUUAUAGUUAACUAAUCUGGGUUAAGAUUAAUAAAAAAGCUUGGAAAUUUCAGAUCUAAAAUCACACCUCAGGCUGCAAGUAGAAUCAAAACCAUGGAAUUUCAAAAUCACUGACCUUAAACACACAGGUCUUCGCAGGCUUCAAAGAAAAGUCACAAACUCGAAAAACCCAAUCUCCUGAAAUCGAAAACAAAACCAAAUUAACCAUCAUCACCUAGAAUCCGAAGCUACAAAACAAAAUUCCCAAAAUCAAAACCAAAAAAUUUGAACAAAAAACUCAUUUAAUAUCCAAAUUUACACUCCCAAGCACAUAACAUUCAAAGCAGACAAUUACCCAAAUCAAAUCGACAGCAGGAGAUGCAAUCUUUUAUGGGCUUCAAAUUUUCUUCAAACCGAGACCAAAUUCGCUAGUUUUCAGCAAGAGAGCGUUGCCGUUUGUAACCCCCGAUGAAAAGAUCCAAACAAAUUUGACUAACAGUAGACAGAGAGAGAGAGAGAUAGAGAGAGAGAGGUGAAAAUUACUCGCUGGUGACGAAGCUAAUGAAUUCGGAGACGCAUUCCUGGACGGUGUUCGACUGAUCGGCACGAGUAGAGACACCAGAUCAGAAAGACAGAAAAAUUAGGGUUUGGGAGAUAAAGAAACUGGGGCAGAGAGAGAGGGAAAGAGAAGCAGAAAAGAGGAUAAUUUUAUGCAUUUUUUUUAGCCGCUUUGAAUUUUUUUUGGCCGACAGGCAUUUGCGUCCGAUUAUUUUUGUCGAAGCCGGUGACACCAAAACCGGCCUCCGGCUUUCGGACCAGGAUUGUCUGCCCCUUCAUUUUCCCUGCCAUGUCUGUGUGGUCACGGUUAAAUCAUGUUAAUAUUUUAUAUUAUUAUUAUUUUUAUCUUAUUAUAUCUAUAAAAAAACAAUAUAAAAUGUUGACGUGGCUUAACUAUGACCACACAAAACAGAAUGGCACAAGGAGGGCACCGGAAGUGAAGGGUAGACAAUCCUUAUCCUCGACUUUCUAUAUAAAAGAUAAUUAACUUUAAUAAUUGUAAUAGGAAGUAAUGAUUAUGUCCUUUGGGUCAACAUUUGUAGGCUAUAUCUAAAAAAAAUACUAAAAAAGUUUAAACACAAAACCCCCCAAAAUUAUAAAAUCAAAAUAUAAUGUACUACCCCUUUUCUCCCGUUUUUAUCUCGCCCUCCAUUUCUGCAAAUCACCAACCUCCCUCUCUGCCCAUAUAUACUCCCUACCUCUCUCAUAAUAUCAAAACUCUCAAACCCAAUUCAUUGCCUCAUUACCUAGUUGAUAAAAGUCCCUAUAACAGUAUCAAAGCAACUAUAAUUACAAAGAAGUUGAGAGAUUACUUUCUCAUUAUCAAAACCACUACUGGAUUUAUGCAGACACAAAGGAUGCGUUUGUUGCACCGGACUAUCUCGGACUUGACUAACUUUAGGGACUAAGCUGGACUGGCUUAUACUAGACUAAGGGCUGGUUUGGUAUUGUUGUGCUUUGAAAAAAAACUGCUGUGAGAAUAAGCGGCUGUGCUGUGAGAAUAAGCGACUGUGAAAUAAAUCAGCAGAGUGUUUGGUAAACUUUUUUGUAAAAGUGCUUUUGGAAAAAAAAAAACAGUCUGAUAGUAGGUCUUUUCAUUGAAGGAGCACUGUAGCUCUGUGUGCUUUGAAAAAAAAGCCAGUUUUCCAAAACUGCAAAUAGAUGCUUCAGCUUUUUCUUUGAUUUCAGCUUAUUCUCACAACAGCUUCCAAAAUAAGCCUUUUUUUUUUAGUUUACCAAAAGCCUAAAACUCUCAUAGCUUUUUUUCAUGGAUGCUUUUUUUUUAAGCACCUCACUCCCAAACCACCCCUAAGAUGGACUGACUUAGUGAAGCGUUUGACGCAGUGCCGGAUUAAGAAGCAGGACUCUAAUAUUAUAUUAUUAAAUCUAUAUAUACAAUAUUUUAUCAUUGAUUUAAUCUAAUCUACUAAUUUUUUUAUUAUUAUUUUAUCAUUUGGCUAGAAUCAUCUUCUUCCCUGAUUCAUUUUUAUCUCCGCCCAUAACUCUCAACCCUCUCCCUUUUUUCUGCCUUUUCUCCCUCUUUUUCUCAAUACUACCGUCUUCCCCCAAAAAAUCCCAACCCCUCCCUCUCAAGCUUAGCAUCACUAAUUUAAUGGCAGCCAUGGUGAGCUUUCCUAUUCAUCUUCCUCUCUCUCUUCCCUUUGUUUUUCCAUUCAAAUCCCUCUCUCUCUUCCCUUUGCCUCUUUUAUUGUCCAACUUCACUUGUUCUUCCAUGGGUGAGGAUUGAAGUUGCAGACGGCAUGGGUGGGUGGGGCUGGGUAUGGGCAUGGGCAGGGAUUGGAGUUGCAGACGGCAAGGGGUGCAAUUUGGUCGGGUCGCUGAGAAUAUCGUUGUAGUUCUCUCGAAUUUGAAACGAGGGAAUGGUCUUGGUGUGGUGUUGUGAUCUCGUUGGAGAGAAGACGCAACGUAGAUGAAGUAAGGUCUUCGCAGAGGGAGGAUGCCAAGCGGCGCAAAGGAGACGAAGCAAGUCUUAGCAGUCCCGUGGUUUUCGGGGACCUUCACUAAGACGACCUAGCAAGGGAGAUAGUCCACAUGAGUCCGGGCUAGUCUCAUUUAAGUUAGUCCCCAAGCUUACCAAACAUGGGACAAUAAUCCUAGCCAGUCCAGCCCCACUUAAGAAGUGAAACAAACGCACCCAAAAUCUCACAAUAUUAUUACCACGACCUUAUGCAUAAUAGGAACAACACUAUAAUCAUCUGCCUACCAGAAAUUAACUCUUCUACAGCAGCAAGUUUAACAACCAACCAACCUUUGAACAAAGAACACACGGACAGAAAGAAGCAGGAUACAUAAGAGGCAAAACAAUUUUCUUACUUCUACAUCAAAGCAAAAGAACAACCAUUAUAUAGGUAUGCCAUUAUCAUCUGGGGAACAAAUCCAAUUGGCAACUUUUACGUACCUACAAUUAUAAGCAAAGUUUGGAAUUCACAAAAAAUACCGGGCAAAUACCAAGGCUGCCAUUUGAAAAAGCUAAACAAUAACAAACUUUGACAAAAUAACUACAACUAAAUUCAGAUGACAUUCGAUGUAUAAAGACAAUUUGAGAAAUCAAAGGCUCUAAAAUCAAUACCAUAUUUCAUGUGCCUUUUAUUGAUAGUGAACCCAGCAGUAGAACCAGGAUAAAAAUUUGAUUUAGAACCUUGCUAUCUUUGUCCUUGUAAAUAUGAUAUUUUGGCAUCGGCAAUAUAUCAUAAAAAAACAAACAAAUAUAUCUGAACUCAAAGAAAAUAUAGAACAAAAAUAAAAAAGCAAAUUAUGAACGUUUAGAAGCUAAUUUCAUUAGCAAUUAAAGCAACCAAGUUCUCUCAACAUCAAGAUUCAGAACCCCCAUGAACCCAGAAAUUUGAUGAAAAUUUUUCUAAUCACUCAAUUGGAUUAGACAAAAUCAUGAAUUUUUUUCUAAAGCCCAAUUAUAUUAAAUCACAGAUUAGAAGCAGAUUUUGACAUGCAAUAAGUCAACAAGAUAAGAAUCGCUUUAGACUAACCUCGAUGGCAAGGCCUCCGGAAUCGCCCGAUAUAAACCAACCAAAAAAAAAUCUAUUCACAUGAUCUUCAACCUAACUAUAAAGAGGAGCUUUAUAACAUCAACAUGCGAAAACAACCAAGCCCAACAAAUUAACGAACUAAUUCUUCUUAAUAAAUAAUAGCAUACAUAUUAUCAAUUAUCAAUCAAUAAUUCACAUAUCGUUAAGGGUUAAACAAAUAUAUGAAGACUGGAAAUUUACUCACACAUCUAAUAUAUCCUUGCAUUUCUAUUUGAAUUCAGAGUACGUGGAAAUCACAUCAAUAAAUCAAAGCCCUAAAUUUUUAUCAUCAUGAACUGGAAAAAUCUGUAAAAUCUAAAAUUUUUGACUAAAAAUGCCAACUUAGGAAUAUGAGGAAAUUUGCAAAUUAGCUAAACAAGGCUAUUAUUUAUCCAAUCAAAGGCAAAUUGGAAUGGUGCAGAACUAACACUACAAAAUUCGUUAAACUAAACAAUGGGUAGAAUGUUUAUAAGAUUUAUAUUUUACACAAAAAUUAAUCUUCUGAAAAAGCAAAAAACAUAAAUUUUUUGUUAAGCAAUCGCAUGGAUUAUAAAUGCCAAAGAUUAGAUGAUGGUAGGCGUCAGAUUACCUCUUUCGCCGAAGAUGCGAAACCCCUCAUUGCCGACGUGGCGGGGCGAAUCCUCUGCCCGAAAAUCUGAACCAACACAAAGAUUAGGCAGAAAAUCUGAAAGUUCAUAAAUUGCAGAAGUAGAGGGUGUAUCAUAGUUGAUGAGCUUCCAGCUCCCACUUUUUGCCUUAAAAUUCCCAACAUCUUUGAUUCUUUCACACAAAAUCACACUGAACGCAAAAAAAAAUCAGAAACAAAAUAUGAUCUAAGAACUGAAAAUUUCAGUGAAAGCACUGAGAGAGAUGAGGAGGAAUAACAAAUGAUUUACUGGAAAUAUGGAAAAAAAAAUUAGAUCAAAAUUCGAACAGAAAUAAACAAUACGAAUUAGGGAUUUGGGAGGGGGAUGAACCGGUUUGGCGGAUUGGAGCGAGGAUCGGAUCGACGAUGCGAUGUGUAAAAAAUGAGCGUUGAGGGAGCAGAGCAGCAGCAGCCAACACUUUCACGCAGAACUUGUUGAAUCCACAUCCGCCGUACUAAAAGAUAAAGUAAUAGUUUAAAUAUCUUAACCUCACUCUAACUAACACCGAUGUCUUUUGUGAUAAAACUCUAUAUUUGAUGGAUUAUGAAGGUGGUAAUUACCAAGUUGGCGACAAUAUCGAUGUUGUUGGAAGUGGGCUGUAUAACCUGUCUCUCUGAUAAUUCUACAUUAUAUAAGAGCCAAGGAACGGACCCGUACUGUACUAUCACGUGAUGGGUGGGUCUCCUGGCCCCGCGCGAUAUGGUGGGUCCCUUGGCCCCGCUUGUAGGGUGAGUCCCCUUGGCUCCACAUGGUUGCCGAUGUGUGGAUCUUUCACAUGUGGCCCACUAAUUGAGUCUCACGUGAUGGGGCGUGUUGAAUCCCACAUUGGCCGUAGUAAAAGAUAAGUAAUAGUUUAAAUAUCCUAACCCCACUCUAACUAACACCGAGACCUUUUGUGAUAAAACCUCACACCUGACGGAUUGUGUAGGUGGUAAUUACUAAAUUGGGGGACAAUAUCAGUGUUAUUGGAAGUGGGUCGUAUUGCCCGUCUCUCUGAUAAUUCUACAGAACUUUCUUGGAAAACCCAGAUCAAACCAACCUAGAUCAAACCAACCUUUAAGUUUCAAGGUUUUUACCCUGGAAUCCAGGCAAAACCCAUAUCAGAUUCUAAAUGGGUUUAUCAAAAAUAAUAAUUUGAUUUUGAUUAGAAAUGCUUUUUCUUGCAGUGGGUGUACGGAUUAAAGAGGGUUUUAGGUGAAUGUGAUCAGCCUACCCAUGUGUCUAAUGGAUUAAACUAACAAAAUAGUAUGUGAUGUGAUAUGUUUUAGGUCAACAUAACAAGAAAAUAUUAAACAAUGAGCUAUAAAGGAAGAUACAUGCUCUUAUGUUCUUUGUGAGUUUUUCCACAGUGAGAUAGUGGGUAUUUAUUACAUAGCCGGCUUCUCUGCCCUCCCAUUUCCCAUACACUCUUAUCCCUUCCUAUUUUAUGCGGUCACGGUUAAGCCACGUCAACAUUUUAUAUUGAUUUUUUUAUAGAUAUAAUAAAACAAAAAGCAAUAGUAAUAUAAAAUAUUGACGUAGCUUAACUGUGACCGCACAAAUAAGAAGGGAUGAGAGUUUAUGGGAAGUGGGAUGGCAGAGAAGCCAGGUCCACCGUCCAUAUAUUACACUCUGUAUUUGUACCCCUGCCAUGAAUGAUUAAGGUUUCACCCUAACAUUUAAAUAAUGAAUGUAGUGGUCAGGAAUUAUUAAAGAUACAGUAAUUACCCUUCUAAGGUGAAAUCAAGCCCAAAUCUGAUGGGUUUCUUGUAAAUAAGGUGAAAUCGAAGGGCAAAAAUUUAACUAUAGCUGAAUGAAUAGUAAAUCAUUCCUCAAUUUUAGAAUAGAUAACUAGAAAGUGUAGCCCGCGCAUUGCUGCAGGAAAUGUGAUUCACGCGUUACUGCAGGAUUGGAAACUGUAUGACAUAUUUUGAUGAACUAAGUUAGAAAACGACUACAUGUGCAAACAUUGCAAGCAACUAAAUUAGACGAAAGCUAACAAAUUUCGAAUUAACCAAAUUAGAAAAACAAUCACAAUCGAACUAAUCUCUACUUCCCAUAUGAAGUAGAAGAUGUCCCUUGUUUUGCAUCGGUGAACAACGCGGUUUCACCCUCUACGAACAAAAAGAUGAAAGUAAAAAUGUUUAACAACAUUAUAAAAAUUAUACAUACAGGAUUAUAUAUGUAUCUGCACAUAAAGUAUAAAGAUUUGCUAACAUAUUUGAGGUUAAAUUUAACAAAAUAAGUAAUUAUGAAUUGAAAUCAAACUAUAUCAUAAUUGUUAAAAAAUACUUUUGGCUAAUUCUUACAAAUAGAAUGAAAAUGUCGCUUUCUUAUCAACUAUUCAAUUGUCUCAGCUGCGGAAAAAAUUGAUUUCAAAGUGUCAUUUACCAAGUGAAUGAUGGAUAAAAUUGUUAAUUUCAAAAUAAACCAACUUUCAAAAAUCCUAACACGAUAUGACAUUGUGAAAAACCUUAAACCCUUUACUGGAACAAACCUCAAAAUGCCCACUAAUUGUUCUGGAUGGGACACACCAAUUUUUACCAUGAGAAAAAUGCAACUCCAAACCAAAAUUAAGCAUUUGAUAAAUCGUAUUUACUGAAAAGAAAUUUUUUUUGAAAGGGAAGCUUACCAGUGUUAGCAAAGUUAAAUACAAUGUAAGAAAGUGGAAGAAUAUUGACAUAAAGAUAGUAGUGGGAUUGAUGAUGGAUUCAGUAUGUUAUUUUGUAUCAAUUCAAAUGGAUGAAAAAUAUUAAAGGAACUAUAGGUCACAGUUUGGAGUAUGCAAAAGUACUACUUCAAAUUUUCAACAUGCUCAGUAAAUCUCUAAAUUUCAAAAGUGUACAAAUUUUAGAGUACUUCAACUAACAGUAAUUUUUUGGAGUGCUACUAUACCCUCUCCAUUGUUUUAUUUCUUCACUCACAUUAUAAUUCCACUCAUCAUAAAAAGUUAAAAAAUUAAAAUGUUAUUUCCCUACCCACUAUUUUUCUAAAACAACCUCUAAUUAACAAUUGGCGUAAAUGUGUAUGACCGCAUUAUACAGAGCCACCAACAGCGGCUGUGACUUCAUCUACAGUUGCUCUUCAUUGUACACCAGGCCUCCUCAUCUAACCAAACAAAGACAAAGCUUGCUUAUACCUCCCAUUCUGAGCACACCCCACAAUCAUGGUGGUCCACGAAACAACAUUCCACUUCGAUAUCUCGUUAAAAAUCCUCUGCGCCCCAUCAACAUCCCGACACCAUACAUAGCCCGCAAGCAGCGAAUUCCAACUUGCAACACUCCUUUCACGCAUACCAUCAAACACCAGGCGUGCAUACUCGACACCACCCCCAAACCCACUUACCCGAACCCUCUUGUGCACCUGUUCCCCUACUAUCACCAACCCUGACCUCGCACAAGCACCAAAAGAACAUACGAAUGGGAAAACCCAUUAGCCUCUGCCUCCAAACCCACCAGCCGUUUAUACAAUUCAACAGACUUCCGCGGAGUUUUGCUCCAAGCGUGGCCUCUGAUCAUCUGGCUCCAAACGGUAGUAACUGUGUUGUCAACAUUUUUGAAAAUUUUUAGGGCAUGAUCGAGACACUCAAAAGCAACGUAAAAUGUUAAAAUUCGAACAAGAAGGUAGCUUUUUGUGUGAGUCCAUGAAUUAUUAUUUUGGGUGUGAAUUUGGGUGUACUUGCACAUCAAUGGAAGCAAGUAAUUUUUUAUUUUGGUCCUUAUAUGUCAUUUUACAAAGAGUAAAAUUGACAUUAAAAAAUUAUUAAAAUAGCGGGUGAGAAGAUAAGACUGUAGAGUAGAUUUAUUAGCACUCAUUUUUUUAUAAAAUCGCAUUCUAGGAAAGUAGGAAUGGAACUUCCAUUCUUAUUAUAUAUACAAAGUAUGCAGAUGCUCCCUUGAAACUGGCUAAUGGUGAUAUUUCAAUCAUCCGAGAAAAACUCUGUGCUGAUAUGUAUGAACAUGCAUCAUCUGUUUCUAGUGCAAAGUGGGCAGAAUCGAGUGCCCAUUAUAAGGUAGUGUUCUACCUAAUGUAUUAAAUUUUUUAUUGUCAUAUGGCUGAGGACACUUAUUGAGUUAAUUAAGCUCCAUAGAGGAAUAGAGAAAUUGAAGGGCAAGAUAGAGAGGUCAUUUGGGGGAAGAGGAAGCCGGAAGGUGAGGCUGCUGGCUGCAGGAUGAUAUGGUUGUAGCAACAAUCAUUCAGUGUUGUUUGAGGACUCGUUUGGAAGUGCUUUGAAAAUGAUUAGAAAUGCUUUUGGAGAAUUUUUUUUUUAGUUUAAAAAACACUUGAAGUGUUUCUUGCAAGAAGUACCAAUUAUGAACUUGUCCAAGAAACACUUCAAGUACUUUUACAUGAUUCACUUGCAUUUUUAUUAAGGAGUGAUUCAAAAAACAUAUUCACCAUAAGCACUUUCAGCUAUUUUAAAAACAUUUAUAAACGGACUUGAGUUUCUUCCGUUUGGAAAUUUUCAUCUUUUAAAUAUUAAGUAGUUUUUUUUUUCAAAAAUUUGCAUAAAGAAAACAUAUAAAAUAUCAUUUACAGUCAUGUCAUUUUGGGAUAUAAAUGUCAUCUAAUUUUUUUAAUAAUUUAUAAUUUAUGGGUGUUUAGAUAUCAGUUUCAGUUGUUAACAUAAUUUCUCUUAAAUGUUGUCUGUUUUGGUGUAUCCUUUUCAGAGUGAUUUCAAGCGGCAUCUUUAUACAAUAAUAGCAGAAGUUUUAUAUCUGAUUAAAGUGGUUCUACAUCUGAUUGCUUUGGCAGCGUCAGAAGGCUUAACCGCUGGAUUUAUGGGAUUUUUGGAUAGCAAGAGUGCUUAUAGCUAGCUCCGGCUAGUUUGGCAGUCUCAGGAGGCUCAACCGUUGGACUAGCCUAGCUAAUGGGCAGUUCAAAUAUUGUCCUCUAUGCAAUUACUUAAUGCGUGGCUCUGGGGGUUAUUGUGUUGUUAUUACUAUGCUCUUUUUUCUCAAACGAAUUUAUGCUCCUUUUAAGUUGUAAUUAUCGUUCAGCUUACUAUAUAUGUUUGAACCUUUUAUAUGAUUUGAUUGUAAUAAAAUCGCGUUUACGGAUGUUGUCCCUUAUGUUCAUUUGUCAAAAGGCAAGUCCUUUUGGCUUGGUAAAGGCCAUGUAGUCGUUCGUCCGAAAAAACAAAGGCCAGGCGGUCCGGUCAAAUUGUGGCAUCAACUCCCUUCUCUCUCUAACCGUCACACGCUCACUACUCACAACCCUUUGGGUAUUAACUACAUUGAGAAUAAUCAAAGGACAAUGAAUAAUUGAGAAAGAUGAGGAGCUAGAGAGAAAUUUUAAAGAGAAAUAUGGCUUCUGUAUUUCUAAGAAAAUAACUAACUAAUUACAUUUGUCAGUUGCAGUUCUUUAUAUGAUAAAACAAUACAAACUUACUUGUAACUGAUUAACCAACUAACAAAUCAUUUAAUAGCCUAACAAAUAUUCUAACAACUUUGAUUGACGUGACAAUGAUUAUAUAACAACCUAUAAUCAAGAUAAACAAUCAUUUGUUUAGUCUCUCACACACCCUAAUUUAGUUAUGUUAAUUGUUUUUUAGGAUAAUUCUUUGUGUCUGUAGUUUUGGGUAGAUAGAUUAACAAAAAUCAUUGUGCUGUCUAUAAUUUGAUGGAGAUGUUGAAUUAUUGUAUUUUUAGUCUCUUCAAACAAAAAUGAUACACUUACUACAUAUUUGUACUAUCAUUGUACAAUCUAUCAAAUAAAAGUUGAGUCCGCCAACACAUGUAAGUCUCAUAUCAAUUAGAGAGAUGGUACAAAUAUAUUGCAAAAGUAGUAUUUUUGCUAAAUUAAACUAGCAAGUAUAACGUCUCAGUGUUGAGGGAUUCUUAAACAUAUGUAUGUUGAGAAAUGAUUUCCACACAAUCUUUUUUUUUUUGGUAGUAAACUCCUAUUAUGUUUUGUCUUGAUUCUCCUCUUAUUUAUUCACCUAAAAGUUAGAAAUAGCUUUAGAGGGUGUGUCAAGAAUAUAAGUGUGUAAAAUUGAUUUCCAAGUAUGUAGGCUUAUUUGUGUGUGAGGUGAAUUUUAGUGUUAGUGUUCUAAUACGCCUGUACUGUUUUGUAGUUCUGAAUUUAUUUGUAUGUCUUAAUCUUGCUUACGCAUCACAUACCAACCACCUUGACGAAGGUGUAACUCAAAACGGCAACUGUUGGAGUCAGAAGCAUUGGAGGUAUAUAUGGUUACUCUCUGUCUCUCUAAUUUAACAGAGGCUUUAGUUAGGGUUUCAGUUUCUUAGAAAAUUCACUACCAAAAAACUGGCAUUUGGGUACAAAACUAAGGACACCAAUGAAGAGUUUGUGUCUCUAUGAACACCAAUACAAUGGACCAGUGCCCAUUCAAUAAAGAGCACAAUGUAUUGUGCCCAAUGUAAAAGAAAAUUGACACAAACACAUUAGGCUGACAACUUUUUGAUAAAAAAUACACAGAAAGGGAUAUUUGUGUCUAUACAUAGACUUAAGCGCACAAUUGUAUGUGUCCUACUUUUAUAAUUACAUAAGUAUACGUGUCUUGCUAAACAAAUAUGGGACAACUAAAACAGAAGAGCGGGUCAUACUUUUUCUCUCCGUUGUGAGAGCCUUCUCUCCGCAGUGAGAGUCUUCCCUCCUCUAUGAGAGCCUACAACAUAGCGAUGGCAACGGUUCGGUUUGGGGACGAAAAAGCAAUAUCCAUCCCUAUAACCACAAAAAUUAGCCAUACCCAUAACCGUAAAAUAACCAAUCGGGGAUUAUCCAUAACCAUAUCCACCGGGUAACGGAUUUUCAAUCGGUUAUCGGUUAUAUCCAUGUAAUCAUACACGAACGAAAAUCUAAACACAGAGUCAUAGAUUAACGAACUGAAAACCAACCAAAAAAAAUGACCUUAAACAAAGAACAAUACACAGAACAGAGAGAUGCUGCAUCAACAAAAUGAAAGAAAAUGACAGAGAAUGAAACAAAUAAAGGAACCCCCAAAACCUGACCAAACAGUGCAACAAAAUCCAGAUAUAAUUCACAGCAAAGAGGCUGAAAUGAUGAAAAUAUAUGCUAACAGUAAAGAAUCCAACCACUCAUCCGACAUCCAAUUACAAAAAACAUAACAAUAUAUUGACGACAAAAGAACGAGAUAUAUGCAAUUUGCUUCUAGUUCCGCCAAGGCUGCCAUCAUCAUUAUUUCAUGGUGCUCCUGCAGCUCCUCCUUCACACCCAUCAAUGGAGCAUGAAUCCUACAUUAUUAAGAAAAUGACGAAAUAAUUAAUAUGAAUCGUUGUACACAUAUAAUCUACAAAGAAGAUAUUUAUAUACAUAUAAUAUAAUUGCCAAUACUUACCUCAUCCAUAUCCAUUUCUUCAAAAUAAGUGCAGCAACCAACGUGUGCAUUAGAACAAGAAGCUAGUUGUGAAACAUGAAAUUGAAGACUUAAAUUAGUUCUAAAAACUGAAUGCAUACUAAUUAAUUAAGUUUGAAAUUAAGAUUAAAGAACAUGCACAGCAGCACAAAUAUAAGAUGAAAAUAAAUUAAUACUUUGGAGUACCUUGAAUUUCUUUCCACAACCAAUUUUGGGCGCACAUUAAGGCUUCCAAUGUCUUUGGAUGAAGUCUACUACGGUGUGGACUUACAAAUCUCCCACUAGUACUGAAAGCUAAUUCGGAAGCAACUGUAGAUACAUGAAUAGCUAAUAUAUCCCUUGCCAAAGCACUUAAGAUAGGAUAUUUAGUCCCAUUUGAUUUCCACUAGCCCAAAAUAUCAAAAUCAGAUGUUCUAGGCAAAACAGCCUCAUCGAAAUAGUGAUCUAAUUCUGACUUUUCAUUAUCAGUACUUACAGUACUAGAAACAAACAAGUCAAAGUUAUCCAUUAAAUGAUUCAUCUCUUUAAAGUCAGAUUGAUUCAAAUGAGAUGAAGUGAAUGAUGGCUAAUGACCCAUGUUAGAACUAUGAUUAGAUCCACACUCUUUUAUCAAAUCAUAACAAUAUUUGCGAAUCUUAUCAAUUUCAUUCGAAGCAUAUUGCCCAUACAUAAGCGGAAAGAAAUACUCAAUCAGCCUCAUCUUGAAUCUUGGAUCCAACACAGUAGCUACAACCAUUAUUCCAUGAAUCACACUCCAAUAUUUAUCAAAUUUCUCAAUCAUACUUCUUGCCAUAUUUUUUAUUUCAUCACGUCUAGAGGUAAGCCACCGAGUUAGCGACAACCUGGUCUCACAAAUCUUUGGAAAAUAAAGAUUGGCUGUAGGGUACUUAGUUCCAGAAAACAACUCGGAUACAUUAUAAAACAACUUUAACUUCUCACAAAUCUCUCUUGCCAUCUCCCAAUCUCUAUCAUCAGGCAAACACUUAUAUUGCGACUCUCGUUGUUUCAAAUAAGGGAAAACAUCCUUGUAAAUCAAAGCAGAUUGAAUCAUUAAAAAGGUGGAAUUCCACCGAGUUUUACAAUCAAGCACCAUUUUCUUAGUGCCUGGAAGCUUCAACUGACGUGCUGCUUCCUCAAAUUUUUCCUCUCUUUUUUGUGUUGUUGUCCAAUAAACAACACUCUCACGAAUUUUCUCAAUACCACCACCAAUCACUUCAAGACCAUCCUUCACAAUUAAGUUUAAUAUAUGUGCACAACAACGCAUGUGAAAGAACCCUCCACCCAACAAAAGUGAACUACCAGAAAGUUUUUCAAGAAUAAGAUCAAUCAUUUUAUCAUUUGUAGUGCAAUUAUCUACUGUUAAGGUAGAAAGCUUACGAUCGAGGUUCCAAUCUAGCAAGCACUCCAUCAAAACAUCUGAAAGUGUCUCGGCGGUAUGCGGACAUGGCACAUAAAUAAAUCUGAAAAAAAUUACAAUGAAGAUGGUUACAAUAAACAAUUUGAAAUAUAAAUCUAAAGCUAGACAACAAUUAAAUAGAAGUUAAAGUAUUAAAAAUAUCACCUUAUUAUUCGGCUCUGCAACGUCCAAGAGUCAUCAAUAAAAUGAGAUGUUAUUACCAUAAAUCAUCUGUUCUGAUUACUUGCAGUCCACAUAUCAGUAGUUAUGGCAAUUAUACUCUUAUUUUCAUCCAACAAUUGCAUUGUUUUCAAACGCUCAUAAUCAUAUAUUUUGAGGAUAUCACUCUUGAUUGUGUUUCUUGAAACAACCUUAAACAACGGUUGGACAACACUCAUGAAGUUUCUAAAUCCAACAUGCUCAAGCAUGGAAAGAGGAUACUCAUGCAAUAUUAUCAUUUGGGCGAGAGCUCUCCUUGCACUUUCUUGGUCAAAUGUAUACAACUCUACUUUCCCAUCUCCUACUUUUUGGGUUAGUGUUUGCUUCAAUUUUUUUUGUCUCCAACGUGGACAUAUCGUCACAUGAUGCCUCAAAUGGCUGGUUCCAUUUCCAGUGUUCCCACCAAGCUUCUUGCUACAAUAAUUACAUAUUGCUUUCAUCACCCCAUCAACUAGUGUUCUUGUGUAAUGUUGCCACACCAAACUGCGAAGUCUCGAAUUAUUACCUUCACCAUCAUCACCCCCAGCUUCAUUAAUCUCACCAGCGACCUCAUUUGGAUUUGGUAUAUCUUGGGGCUGAGCAAUUUGACUUGGUAUUUCUUGUUGCACAACACUUGGAUGCAAUGUAGGUGCUAGAUUACAAUCAGUUGGGGUACAUAUUGUUUCUUCUUGAGACUUAAAUUUUCUUUUAGACAUUUUGAUUGUUGCAAACACAACCAAAUCCAUUAAUAUGUAAACAAAGACAUGGUAUAAUACUGAAAUUGAGUCAAUUAACAUGUAAACUAAAUAUAUAACAAUAAACAAGAAGACAAUUAUUGAUUUAACAAGCAAAACCCAAUACCCAUUUAAUCAUACACCAACGAAAAAUCUAAACACAAGAGUCACAAAUUAACGAACUAAAAACCCACAAAAAGAACCAAAAAAAAAAAAAGAGAAGAAACUGACCUUAAAACAAAGAACAAUACACAAAAUGGAGAGAUCAGAGAUGCAUCCCCAACAGUAGAGAAUCGAAUUAAAAAUUGAACAUAGCUCAAAACACUUACCCUUCAAUGUUUGGAGCCUUAGAAAACUUUAUGAUGUUCAUGCAAAUAUUUUUAGGUCUCAAUGCAUCCACCUAUCCUGCAAACCAAAAAUGGAAAUGCAUUAACACAAAUGCCAAAACCGAUUUCUAAGAUUUUAGUAUUCUCUUUACCCUUGCAACCAAAAAACAAAAAUUGCAGAAAAAUGAGCAAGAAGCUAAAGCAGAAAAAAUCAUAUUUUCAACCACCAAAACCCAAUACCCAUUUAACCUGAGAUUUCAGUGUUUUCUUUACCCUUGCAACUCAAAACAAAAAAUCCCAGGAAAAUGAGCAAGAAGCAUAAGCAAGAAAAAAACAUAUUUUCAACCACCAAAACCCAAUACCCAUUUAAUCAUACAUAAACGAAAAUCUAAAUACAGAGUCAUAGAUCAACGAACUGAAAACCAACCAAAAAAAAAAAAACUGACCUUAAAACAAAGAACAAUACACAGAACAGAGAGAUGCUGCAUCAACAAAAUGAAAGAAAAUGACAGAGAAUGAAACAAAUAAAGGAACCCCCAAAACCUGACCAAACAGUGCAACAAAAUCCGGAUAUAAUUCACAGCAAAAAUGCUGAAAUGAUGAAAAUAUAUGCUAACAGUAAAGAAUCCAAUAAAAAAAGGAACUUAGCUUUCGAAAUCCAGCCACUCAUCCGACACGCAAAAGGGAAUGGAUGAUCCAGAGUGAUUCAUGGACUGACACUGAGGGAGUCCCAGAGUCGAGGGACCUUACUCGUCUCUGUUCACCAUCCCAACCCCUCCCUCUCUGUUUCUCUCCCUAUUAUCCGGACAACCACUCUCUCUUCUCUUUCUCUCACUGUCACUUUCUUUUUCUCUCACCCGUGCCAGGAUCGGCGGCAUGCAUGGCCUUACCUGCGCGGCUGCGCCCAAGAAAGAAGAUUCAAGUCCUAAUCUGAAAGACUGAAACCCUAUGAUAAAAAGAUGAUUCUAGUUCUACCCCUCUAACUCAUCAUCCUCACCGUAGGAUCUGAAGAUGAGAUGGACAAUCAUGUCAUUUUACACGACUACUGAAUCAGUGAAUCCCGGUUACAAAAUUGAAUUUUUAAGAAUUAAUUAAAUAAAAUAUAAUAUAUAUCAAAUAUAUAUAUAUAAUAUUUGGUUCGGAUUCGGGUACGGAUAUGGAUUGGAUACCCCUAUAACCAUAUCCAAACCCAUAAUCAAAUAAAAUUCACGGUUUUUCCCCAUAUCCAAACCAUACCCGAAUUUUCAUAUCCAAACCUAAUCCAUUCGGACGGAUAUCCACGGGUAUCGGGUUUCACGGUUAAAAUUGACAUCCCAUAAUAACUCCGCCCUCAACUGUACCAUACCAGAUCUAAUAGUGCAUCCCCCUCCAGUUUUCAACCAUUUCCUCCUUUUCCCCAAAUUUUCAAUUGUUCCCAAAUUCGAGUUCAACUAACCCUAGUCUGGGUAGUUGGGUUUAUUAAGUGUCUGCGCUUCUUACACCUUUCAUCCCUUGUUCAAUUAUUCAUUGUGUCCUUUUCGACCAUCAGCAUUGAUUUCUCCAUCUUUUCCCUCUGCUCAUGCGGUGAGUAGUUGGGUCCAACGGCUGACGAAUUGAAGGCUUUCAAUUUAACUUCAACUGGGCCAUAAAGGUCAAUUGGGUAUUGCAGAACUUAUCUGUCAGUUAUGAGUCAGAACUUAUCUGUCAAAAGAUGAGGAGACGACGAAUCGAAUACUAGAGCAGGUCUCUUGGGCAGUGAUGAGUCAGAACUUAUCUGUCAAAAGAUGGCCUCAAGAACUAGCACUUGAAGAGGUAAUGUUGAGAAAGGUCCCAUUCUGGAUCCAAAUGAAGGGCGUGCUAUUACAUCUGAGCACAGAGGUAAAUGCCAAGAAAUUGGCAAGCCAUAUGGGAGAGGUUAUUAAGAUAGAAGAGUUGUCACUGGCUAGAGGGUUCUUAAGGGCCCGGGUGUUGGUGGAUACAGAUCACCCUCUUAUAAACGGAUGCUGGCUUCCACGUCCGGGGGAUAAGGAAUCCUGGAUCGGGUUUAGAUAUGAGCGGCUCCAAGAUUUCUGCUAUAGGUGUGGGAGGAUCGGCCAUGUUAUGACGGAGUGUACCUUUGAAAAAAGCAGGAGUGGGGCUGUUGGGUUUGGUGAAUGGACUCGGAUGAAACAACCCAGGCCUCUAUAGGAGUAUGUCCAUCCACUACCAGUAAUGCAAUGCAACCGUCGCCAUGCCAGAAUGAUGCCAGAGAAACGGAACUUAAGCUUUCAAGAUAAGGUAUUCUCAACAAGCACGAAAGGGGUGCUAGAUUAGGGAUCAUCUGAACCCCAAAGGUUGGGAAUUGUCUUCCAUGAUCUCGGGAGCCAGGGGAGAAUUGGGGGGGAUUAUUGCUAUGGUGGGAUCUCCUGUUAGUGGAAUUCUUCCCCCAGUGCAAUGCGAGAAUGUAAUUCGGCCUGAAGCAGAACUAACAAUCCAAUCCUGGGUGUGAGUGAUGACCUUGGUCUGCUUCCAGUGGAGACCCACACCUUUGAAGAGGGGGAAAUGGAAAGGGGUAGAAGCUCCCACCAAACUUCAAUCCAGGGAUUCUUUAAUGGCUUGGGCCUAAAGAGGAAAACUGAUAUGAAGAUUCAGGGGGGAGGACAAGCUCGGAGUAAAAGAGUGAAAAAAGAAGCAGGCUGCUUAGGAGGAGGAAGAUGACAACGAGUAGGGGGCGAAAUCCCAGUAUAAGUGGCGGUGGCAUAGAAGGUGGAAUUUCUGUUCUCGUGGAGGCAAAUCUGCUUGAUGUGCCGAUUGCUCAGGGGAAGAAAGUGAGAAGCCUGCGGGUUGGAAGCCCAAACCAGGAUUCUGAUGCACCUCAGACUAAGAGGGCGAGGGUGGAACCUUGGGGUGGUGGUGGCUGGCCCAUAAUAGUUGCACCAUCGCCAUGAUCUACCUAAUGUGGAACUGCCAUGGUCUUGGGUCGGACGCGGUAGUUCGAGCUUUUCAUGGGCUUAUUAGGCGGUACAGACCCUGUGUGAUCUUUCUGUCCAAGGCGAAAAUGAAGGAUCACAGAUUAGAAGGAGUUCGGCACAUAAUGGGUUAUACAUACGGAUUCUCGGUCCCAACUAUGGGGGCUGCGGGUGGUCUUAGUCUUUGGUGGAACGACCUUGUCCAAGUGACUAUCCUUUUCUCGUCAAAGAAUCUAAUUCACACAAGAGUCCGAGAUAGGUGUUGUAAUGAUUGGUGUUUUGCAUCAUGGGUUUAUGGUACUCCAUAUAGAGCAGAGAAUAGGGCAUUCUAGAGGUGGAUCUCGGAGGUUUACAGCCUUGCCCAACCCCGUGGUUUUGUGGAGGAGACCUGAAUGAGUAUCUUUGGGAUAGUGAAAAGGCUGGGGGGAUGGAGGAGUCUUGCUCUCGCCCCCGGUUCCUGUAGGAUUUUAUGUCAAAUGGAGCUCGUGGAUUUACAUUUCAGUGGACCAGCAUUCACCUGGAGAGGUUCCCGUAAUGGAAGCUUGAUGCAGGAAAGAUUGGACCGUGGGAUGGUGAAUGGCAAUUGGCAAGAUUAUUGGCCUAAUACUUCAGUCACCUAUGAAACGGUUAGAGCCUUAGACCUAGUUUGGGAGUGAGGUGCUUAAAAAAAAAACACCCAUGAAAAAAAGCUGUGAGGGUUUUAGGUGUUUGGUAAACUGAAAAAAAAAGGCUCAUUUUGGAAGCUGCUGUGAGAAUAAGCUGAAAUCAAAGGAAAAAGCUGAAGCUGCUAUUUGUAGCUUUGGAAAACUGGUUUUUUUUUUCAAAGCGCACAGAGCUACAAUGCUUCUUUAAUGAAAAUACCCACUAUUAGACUGCUUUUUUUUUUCCAAAAGCACUUUUACAAAAAAGUUUACCAAACACUCUGCUGAUUUAUUUCACAGCCGCUUAUUCUCACAACACAGCCGCUUAUUCUCACAGCAGCUUUUUUUCAAAGCACAGCAAUACCAAACCAGCCUUAGACCACUGUUAUUUGAUCAUCAAAACCAAUCCCCGGAGUCGAAAAAAAAUGAUGAAACUAUUCAGGUUUGAAUCAUUCUGGAUAGAUGAGUAGGGUUGCAAGGAUGUCAUUGAUGCGAGUUCGAGGGGGCCUAAUGGUGAGGAGUGGGUAGACAAAUGGCAUCAGAAACUCAACUCUUGCCGAAAGGGGCUUGUUGAGUGGAGCAGGGAAAAAUUCUGCAGAGUGAGGGAGGAAAUUCAAAGCUUAAGCAGUAGGAUCCAUAACUUGCAACAUAAUUGGGAGGAGAAUGGAGAGCAAAUUAAAAGUUUAUCUGAGCAACUAGAUAGGAUGGAGGAACAAAAGGAAAAAUUUUGGCAGCAAAAAUCCCGAGUUAAAUGGCUGCAAGCAGGUGAUUUUCGAAGUUCUUCCAUCAAACUACUGUUCAGAGAAGAAUAGCGAACCGGGUGGAAAAAAUCCAAAAUGGAAGCGGCACAUGGAUAGAGGACGAUGCCGGGAUUCGCCGGACGGUUGAUAAUCAUUUUUCCAAUUUGUUCAAAUCUGUUGGACAGCGGGAUUGAGGCUCUAUUCUGGAUUGCAUUGAUCAUGUUGUUACUGACGAGAUGAAUGUUUCCCUCUCUUAACCGUUCACAUUGGAGGAGAUAAAUGAUGCAAUCUUUAAUAUGGGUGGGCUUAAGGCCCCAAGUCCUGAUGGGUUCCAAGGAAUUUUCUUCCAUUCCUUCUGGAAUAUCAUUGUGGAUGAAGUGAAUGGCUUGGUGUGUGAUCUGGUUAAUGGCAGGGCUUGCCCGAAGUCUAUCAACUCGACGUUUAUUGUUCUUAUCCCGAAGGUGCCCAACCCGGAGAAUGUUAGCCAGUUCCGUCCGAUAAGUCUUUGUAACCACUCGUAUAAGAUUGUAUCAAAGGUGCUGGCUAAUCGUCUUAAACCUCUGUUGCCAACAAUAAUUUCACCCAGUCAGAGUGCGUUUGUGGCUGGGAGACAAAUUCAGGACAACGUUGUGAUCACUCAUGAAGUUUUUCACUUUCUGAAAAUGCGGAAAGGUUUGUUCGAGUUGGCAUUGAAGAUUGACAUGAAUAAGGCCUACGACAGGGUGGAAUGGGGCUUCCUUGCAGCAAUUAUGAUUAGAAUAGUGUACCAAGUCCGGCUACUUGGAAGGCGUCAAGUUAAGCACGCAUGGUCCGAUGCUCUCCCACCUCCUAUUUGCUGAUGAUACGCUCAUCUUUCUAAAGGCCUCUUCCAUGAAUUGUCAGAACAUUGUUCAUAUUCUGGACGCUUAUUGCCAUGCUUCGGGGCAGGAGCUCAGUUUGAAUAAAUCUUCUGCGUUUUUCAGUGACAAUACGCCGGCGUGUGUUCGUGACGAGCUGCAACUGUUACUUCAAAUGCCGUCGGUGGCACCUAAUUAACAAUAACAAAUAAUAAAAGUCAAUGAAAAUGCUAACCUUUCAGACGGGCUAGUAUCAAUAUCUACACUCAGCUUUAGCAUAAUAGAUGCAACCUCCUCUGCAAUCCAUUGUUUCUCAGCGGAAACUGGCCCAUAAUCAAUAACAGAGCCCUUUAGUACUUUUGCACUAGAAAAUGUAUAUCACAAAACAUAUGCAUGACUAUCAACCCAAGAUGAAGAGUCUACCUGCUUUUAUUGCCUCCUUAGCUAGUUGCUCAUCCACACCAGAUGAAAAUCCUGUAUCAUUUACUAGUCGGGUAUACAAACUCUGUUCAACCUCCUUAUCUCCGACAAUCUUUAGCUUUGAAAUUCUUUCCUCGCCAAGCUUUUCAACAAUUGAUCUGACAUUUAUAAAGUGUUAAAUGGAGUAUUAGCGCAGUCAUAUACCAUCCAAUGGAGCAUGAUCAACCAAAACUGGUAUGUGGUGGUAAGGAUUAAUACAGUACUUAACUGCAGUUUUUGCUCAAUAUUAUAUGCACACAAAUAUGUAUGUGUAUCUGUGCCUGUCUGUGUACUUAUGUACAAUUUUUUGCAUAAUUUUAUAAUAUUUAACUUACAAACAAAGAGCUAAUGACAAGUUGCUUAAGAAUGAUUAAUAGAUCAAUCAGUCACAUUAAAGCUUAUACAGUAAUAUUUUGUUGUAACUGAACUUACUCAUAAUUCUAUGUACUAUUUGCCACAAUGGAAAUCGCAUAUGCUGUCAAGUGACACUAGAAUCUGUGCUAUUGCAGAAAUUUGGAAUGAAAUUGCAGCUGUGUCAGGGGCUGAGUCCUUUAUGACCACAUCGAAAGAAACUACUGCCAGAAUGAGAACCUCAAGGGACUUGGAUGGUCUGCCUUCCCAUUUUGAUGUCCUUCUCGUACCCUUCUGUUUGUGUGGUCACGAUUAAGCCACGUCAACAUUUUAUAUUACUAUUUCUUUUUGUUUUAUUAUUUAAAAAAAAAACAAUAUAAAAUGUUGACGUGGCUUAACCGUGAUCACACAAAACAGGAGGGCACCGAAAUGGGAGGGCAGACAAUCCAAGUCCAACCUCAAGAGGUCCAAUUAUAGUCAAAGCUACAGUGCUUUCUGUUGUGUCCAAAACCCAGAGCAUGUUCGUAACUAUCUGGAAACUUAACAUAAAAAAAGCAUAAAAAAAAAUAAUAUAAAAUGUUUGUGGAAGCCAGACUUGUAGCCAGGACGAGGCUGAAAUGCCUCUAUGAAUCUUCCCGGCUCCUAAAAAGAGUGGAUAAUCAUGAGUUGCAACCAGUUGUCCCUCUUUAAAAAAAAAAGAAAAUUGAAAAAUGAUUAUAUAGGGUAUUCAGUAUUCUAAUGAGUACAAAGUAUUAUCCUAGAAUUUUUGCCAACUGAGAAAAUGGCGGACUUUCAUGGGGUAAAUUACCAAGUUUGACCUCUUUAUUGGUGAGUAUUUGCUGCUUUGCCAUUUGUUGCAGGGUCUAUGGAAGUAGUAUGCUAGAGAUUUUCCCGUGUAUCGGAAACACAUUUCGAUGCAUCAAGUGUAAUAAUACAAUUGAUUGGAAAUUUAAAAAAAAAUCAACUAAUUAUAUUAUGACACUUGGUAUACUAAGAUGUAUUUUCAGCAUACUGAAAAAUUUCUCAAUAGUAUGCUUACUUUGUCUCUUUCCCUGCACUGCACACCAUUGUACACCUCACGGGUCCAUAUGUGUCAAUGGAUGCAUGGUGUAAAUAAUGUCUCACUCGUUGGUUAGCUCUUCUCCUGUAGAAGUUUACAAACAUCACCAUCUUCCAAUCUCAAACCCGAGAACGAUGAUGCUCACAGUUUGAUGAAAUGUAGAUUAUGAGUUUGGAUAUGGCUUUGCGAUUUUUUCCAUUAAUCUAGUAAUUCAGUCUACAAUUCGGUUGGACUUGCCAAAGAUUCUUUGCAUAAUUUUUUAAUUUAAUUGGAUCCCUCAGUAAAAAGAGGGUUUCGAACUUAAAAAGUUUUGUGAGUUUUUGAACAUUGAAGAUAAUAAAGUCCAUGGUUUUUGUAUUGGUUGUUUGUUUAUUCUUUUUGAUCGAAUGAAAACUAUUGGCUUUGAGAUCUAAGGUUGUAUGUCUAACAGUUAAAAACACUAGGAAAUGUGUCGGAUUUAGCUUUAAAAUUCAGAGAUUUUGGACAUUGAAGCUUUUCUUAGGGAAUAAAAUAAAUAUCGGAAUCCUUCUUUUCCUAUUUAAAUGCUAAUUAUUAUUGUGAUUUUGUAUGUUUUCUUCAAUGCCAGUUAUUCUUAAAUUAAGAUAAUGUUUUUUUGUUAGGGAGUGAAGAUGAAUUUUAGAGACAGAAAAACAAAAUUAGUAACAUAUAAACCUAAAAUUGCAAAUUAAUCCAAAAAUAACAAAUAAUUAGAUAAAAAGUUAUAGCCAUAUACAUUUCUAUAUAAUUUUUGAAAAAAAAUGAAAAAUUAUGUAAUAUGAAUUUGUCUGUCAGAACAUUAUAAUUACUUUAGUCUAAAGUAGGGGAGGUGGCACUGUGCAAUUUUGGGGUACAUUUCAGUUUAUUUACGAAAUUGCCACUAAAUCUCGCUGCCCCCUGAUUUAAGUUUAUUUGCAAAAUUGCCACUGGGCUUCAGAAAGGGUUUUGAGUCGUUGGGCUAGAAUUUCCGUUCAGAUUGGAAUUUUCAGUUUUGCGAUCCACACGUUGAUCAUUGCUGUGUAGGAUCGCCGACUGUGUGGGAUUUGGUGAGAGGAUGGUUACGUGUCCAUCAUCGUCGAAAGGUCUGCUUCGACUGCAACGUCUCAACUUUUCUAUCCAUUUCAACUUGUCUCUCACAAGCCUCUGCUUCAGUCACUCUCGAUCGUCGCCUUUUCUAAGGCGUCCGAGGGACAAAAACCGAAAGCCAAACCUCCACCACAAAUGAAGUCACGAACGCCACUCUCACUCACCCUCCACUGUUGUACACUAACCCAAUCAUAAUUCUGAAAUCCAAUCACAACCCAGAUGUUAAUCCUUCAGAGAAUGGCAAUGGCCACUUCUUCUUCCUUCCUCUCAAUCCCUCUCCUAAAGACCUCUUCUUUGCUUUCCCCAGUUAAACACUGCGCUUCACCACUGAGCUCUGAGUUCAGGGCUCUGUCCCUCUACGGCGGUAGAAAUGGAGUCUCCACCUCCUCGGCGAUGGCCACGAAAUCAAACACCGGAAGCACAAAGGCGGCCAGUUUCUCUUGCUUCUCAGAGUUAUAGAAAUGAAACACCUCAGCCAAAUCCAGUAACAAGCUCAUUCCCGGAGUCCUCAGUGUCUUCCAAUAUCUCGUCAUCAGAUACCGGCAUGGAAUACUCAAGCCCUCCUUUAAGACAAAGGCGAACGGCAAACGUUGAGGAAGUUGAAUCUUCAUGAUGUAUGAUAUAUGUUUUAGUUACUGCUCAUUUGUUUGUACCAUGUGCAUCAGAUUAAGGUCACUACUCAUUUGUGCCAUGGUUUUCAUUCUUUUUUAUUUUGUUUCUUGUUGUAGUUACUCAUUCUCGGUAAUCAACUGAUAGUAAGGGCUGGUUUGGUAUUGCUUGCUUUGAAAAAAAAACUGUUUUUGCUAUGUUGUGAGAAUAAGCAGCUGUGAAAUAAAGUAACAGAGUGUUUGUUAAACUUUUUUGUAAAAGUGCUUUUGAAAAGAAAAAAAAAGCAGUAUUAUAAUGUUUUGUAAACUUUUAUGUAAAACAGAUGUGAAAAAAAAGCCAGUUUUUCAAAUAUGGGAUUUGCAGCUUUUUGUUUUUGGCUUUUUUUCACCAAAAACUGUGAAAAACAACUGAAGUUGAAUGUUUACCAAACACAAAAAAACUCCCAGCUUUUUUUUUUAUACCAGUUUUUUUUCAUAAUCACCUCACUACCAAACCAGGGCUAAGUUCUCUCUUCUUCUUUUUUUGUUAUUUUAGUUGCUUAUAUAUCACUUCUGUUAACAUUUUCAGGUUUUCAGCAAUCUUCAAUUACGAUAGCAACUUGAUUCCUAGGAUUUGGAAUAAGAAGGGAGACAUUAGUUGUCACAUUCCAAUCUCGGCUCCGCCGUAGCAUGAUAUUAUCCGCUUUGGGUUCCGGCCACGCUCUCACGGUUUUGUUUUUGGGAACUCACACGAGAACUUCCUAGUGGGUCACCCAUCCUGGGAUUGCUCUCGUCCGAACUCGCUUAACUUUGGAAUUCCGAUAGAACCCGAAAUCAAUGAGUUCCCAAAAUACCUUAUGCAAUAUGGAGGUAGUCAUGUACAUAUAAGGCACAUUACCCUCUCUAUGUUGGUCAAUGUGGGAUGUUACAUUAGUACUAUUACGAAGGAUGCUUGAUCCGCUGUAAUUAUUUAGAAACUUAAUGGAUGGAGGUAUAACCUGUCUGUAUUUUGUUUGCAUUUAAACGAUAUCUUAGCAACUUUUUUCUUUUAUCUCUUUGAUGCAGUCUCUUAAGAUUUUGUUGGCUAUAGCUGCAAUUCGCUUGAGUGAGAAGCCAGAUAACAUUGAAAAGGUUCUCUUUUCUUUUCUAAUGGAUGGAACUAAAGCAUCUAUAGAUCCUCUUACAUCGAACACUUGGGAAGAGGUACUGUGUAUAAGGAUUUUUUUUUUCUUUAUCUCCAUAUGGAUAGACUUUCUAUUUUCAAACUAAUUUCUUAUCAAUAAUUAAUUCUGACUAUAAGGAUUUUUCCAUUAAUCUAGUUAUUCGUUCAGUCUACAAUUCGGUUGGACUUGCCAAAGAUUCUUUGCAUAAUUUUUUAAUUUAAUUGGAUCCCUCAGUAAAAAGAGGGCUUCGAACUUAAAAAGUUUUGAGAGUUUUUUAACAUUGAAGAUGAUAAAGUCCAUGGUUUUGUACUGGUUGUUUGUUUAUUCUUUUUGAACGAAUGAAAAUUGUUGGCUUUGUGAUCUAAUGUUUAUGUAUAGUAGUUAAAAACACUAGGAAAUGUGUCGGAUUCGGCUUUAAAAUUCAGAGAUUUUGGACCUUGAAGCUUUUCUUAGGGAAUAAAAUAAAUAUCGGAAUCCUUCUUUUCCUAUUUAAAUGCUAAUUGUUUUAUUGUGAUUUUUUAUGUUUUCUUCGAUUCAUGUUAUUCUUAAAUUAAGAUAGUGUUUUUUUUGUUAGGGAGUGAAGAUGAAUUUUAGAGACAAAAAAACAAAAUCAGUAACAUAAAAAUCUAAAAUUGCAAAUUAAUCCAAAAAUAACAAAUAAUUAGAUAAAAAGUUAUAGCCAUGUACAUUUCUAUAUAAUUUUUGAAAAAAAAGGAAAAAUUAUGUAAUAUGAAUUUGUCUGUCAGAACAUUAUAAUUACUUUAGUCUAAAGUAGGUGGAAGUGGCACUGUGCAAUUUUGGGGUACAUUUUAGUUUAUUUACGAAAUUGCCACUGAAUCUCUCUGCCCCCUGAUUUAAGGUUAUUUGCAAAAUUGCCACUGGGCUUCAGAAAGGGUUUUGGGUCUUUGGGCUGGAAUUUCCGUUCAGAUUGGAGUUUUCGGUUCUGCGAUCCACAUCAUCGCUGUGUAGGAUCGCCAGCUGUGUGGGAUUUGGUGAGGGGAUGGUUAUAGACUUGGCAAUUUUUGACACGACACGAAAAUAAUGGGUUUCGGGUCAACACGAUAACUUAUCGGGUCACUAUCGGGUGACCCGUUAAGAACCCGUUAAUAACGGGUUCUUAACAGGUAUACACGCGGGUAACACGUGGGUAACCCGUUUCGACCCGUUAAGAAAAAAAUUAUUUUAAUAAUUUUAAAGUUUAAUUACUAAAAGAUUUAUUAUAAAAUACAAUAGUCAUAUUAAUAUAUACAAUAUAUUCUAUAUUAAAUAUAUAGUUUUGUAUUAUUGUUCUAUAUAAAUUAUAAAAAAAUUAAAAAAAAGUUUUAGUCAUUAUUUAUUUUUAUUAUGAGAGUUCCUUAUUAUCAUUACUAAGAUAAAUUUUACAUAACAUAUUCUUGUCCAAAAUUAAAAUAUACUGGUAUAGUAUUUGUAUAUGCAAGAACUAAGAAGACAUACAUACAAGUAUGAAAAAUGUGAAAGAAUAUAUAAACACUCGUGAUUUAUCAUUAUUCCUCCAAGAAUAGAUAAUUGUUACACUUAUAUUAUCGUUUAGAUUUUUAAAAUCCUUCAAACCCUCAUGAAUAAUGUUUUUUAUUUGAGGGCAAAAUUAAUAAAAUUAAUAAUAAUUAUUGUAUAAGUGUAAAAAAUGUAAAAAUAUAUAUAUACAAUCACUCAUAUAUAAAAAAAUGUAAAUGCUUUAAAUUAAAGAUCAAAUUUAUUCAUUACAUUCUUAUAGGGUCGAGGAGUGUAUCUGUAAAAAAUCAUCAAAAUCAGAGAUAAAAUAACCAUUAAAUUGUGAUUUUUCGUUUAUAACCGCCGAAAACUUUUGUUCCAUUACGUAAUCUCUGAAUGUUUGUUUUUUACGAUUUUUUACAUAUGCGAUCUCGGAAUGUGUACAAAUAAGUUUGACGGUUGGAUCGUUGAAAAAAGUUUCAUAAAAUGCAUAUUGCGUCAAAACGGUAGAUUAAGCAAACACUUAGAGUUAAUAUUAUACUUCUAUUAAGUAUACACUAGUGUAAAUAUUUUAAAUUAAAGAUCAAAUUUAUUCAUUACAUUCUUAUAGGGUCGAGGAGUGUAUCUGUAAAAAAUCAUCAAAAUCAAAGAUAAAAUAACCGUUAAAUUGUGAUUUUUCGUUUAUAACCGCCAAAAACUUUUGUUCCAUUACGUAAUCUCUGAAUGUUUGUUUUUUACCAUUUUUUACGUAUGCGAUUUCGGAAUGUGUACAAAUAAGUUUGACGGUUGGAUCGUUGAAAAAAGUUUCAUAGAAUGCAUAUUGCGUCAAAACGGUAGAUUAAGCAAACACUUAGAGUUAAUAUUAUAUUUUUAUUAAGUAUAAAAUAAGUUUUUGUGGUAUCCACUAGUGUAAAUACUUUAAAUUAAAGAUCAAAUUUAUUCAUUACAUUCUUAUAGGGUCGAGGAAUGUAUCUAUAAAAAAUCAUCAAAAUCGGAGCUAAAAUAACCGUUAAAUUGUGAUUUUUCGUUUAUAACCGUCGAAAACCUUUGUUCCGUUACGUAAUCUCUGAAUGUUUGUUUUUUAUGAUUUUUUACGUAUGCGAUCUUGAAAUGUGUACAAAUAAGUUUGACGGUUGGAUCGUUGAAAAAGUUUUGUAGAAUGCAUACUGCGUCAAAAUAGUACAUUAAACAAACACUUAGAGUUAAUAUUAUACUUCUAUUAAGUAUAAAAUCAGUUUUUGUGGUAUCCACUAGUGUAAAUACUUUAAAUUAAAGAUCAAAUUUAUUCAUUACAUUCUUAUAGGGUCGAGGAGUGUUUUUGUAAAAAAUCAUCAAAAUCGGAGCUCAAAUUACCGUUAAAUUGUGAUUUUUCGUUUAUAACCGUUGAAAACUUUUGUUCCGUUACGUAAUCUCUGAAUGUUUGUGUUUUACGAUCUUUUACGUAUGCGAUCUCGAAAUGUCUACAAAUAAGUUUGACGGUUGGAUCGUUGAAAAAAGUUUCGUAGAAUGCAUAUUGCGUCAAAACGGUAGAUUAAACAAACACUUAGAGUUAAUAUUAUACUUCUAUUAAGUAUAAAAUAAGAUUUUGUGGUAUCCACUAGUGUAAAUACUUUAAAUUAAAGAUCAAAUUUAUUCAUUACAUUCUUAUAGGGUCGAGGAGUGUAUUUGUAAAAAAUCAUCAAGAUCGGAGCUAAAAUAACCGUUAAAUUGUGAUUUUUCGUUUAUAACCGUCGAAAACUUUUGUUCCGUUACGUAAUCUCUGAAUGUUUGUUUUUUAAAGAUUUUUUACGUAUGCGAUCUUGGAACGUGUACAAAUAAUUUUGACGGUUGGAUCGUUGAAAAAAGCUUCGUAGAAUGCAUAUUGCAUCAAAACGGUAGAUUAAACAAACACUUAGAGUUAAUAUUAUAUUUCUAUUAAGUAUAAAAUAAGUUUUUGUGGUAUCCACUAGUGUAAAUACUUUAAAUUAAAGAUCAAAUUUAUUCAUUACAUUCUUAUAGGGUCGAGGAGUGUUUUUGUAAAAAAUCAUCAAAAUCGGAGCUCAAAUUACCGUUAAAUUGUGAUUUUUCGUUUAUAACCGUUGAAAACUUUUGUUCCGUUACGUAAUCUCUGAAUGUUUGUGUUUUACGAUUUUUUACGUAUGCGAUCUCGAAAUGUGUACAAAUAAGUUUGACGGUUGGAUCGUUAAAAAAAGUUUCGUAGAAUGCAUAUUGCGUCAAAACGGUAGAUUAAACAAACACUUAGAGUUAAUAUUAUACUUCUAUUAAGUAUAAAAUAAGAUUUUGUGGUAUCCACUAGUGUAAAUACUUUAAAUUAAAGAUCAAAUUUAUUCAUUACAUUCUUAUAGGGUCGAGGAGUGUAUUUGUAAAAAAUCAUCAAGAUCGGAGCUAAAAUAACCGUUAAAUUGUGAUUUUUCGUUUAUAACCGUCGAAAACUUUUGUUCCGUUUUGUAAUCUCUGAAUGUUUGUUUUUUAAAGAUUUUUUACGUAUGCAAUCUUGGAAUGUGUACAAAUAAGUUUGACGGUUGGAUCGUUGAAAAAAGUUUUUGGACCGCCAGCAAUAGAUAAUUUUGUAGUAGUGAAACCUUAAAUUUAUUUAACCGUCAAUUGUUAUUUACACUUUAUUCUUCUGACUGAAUUUUAUUUUUUGAAAACAUGAUCAUCUGGUGGAUGUAAGAAAAUGAUAUCACGUUUCGAUAUUUACGAUUAACUGAAAUAUGAGUCAAUGUCAUAUAAUUUGUAGAAACUUUAUAAACAUCAAGCAAUAUUUUCACUAACCGUAUAACUCUAAAUAUAAUAUCAACUAUCCAAACCGUUCAUCUACCUACACCCUCUAAUAGAUCAUGUUUUCAAAAAAGAAAAUCUAAAAAAACGAAAUUUGAUGAGAACAAUGAAGCAUAAAUGUAAACAACAAUCAACGGUUAAAUUUUGAUCUAUGAUUUAUAUGAUUAUAGUGGCGAAUUUCGAAGUUAAGCUCUUCAUGAAAGUUAUAAAGCUUGUCAUUACGAGUGUUUAUAUAUUUUUUUCUAUAUUUUUUUACACUUCUACAUUAAUUAAAAAACUAUUAAAGACUUUAGGUAAGCGAAAAUAUACUUAAAACAAAAUUGUGUUUUUAUGUUUUGGAUGUGAUAAUAUGGAAUGUAUAUACUUAUUUAGUAUUAUGUUUUUCAUUUGAUUAUUUAUUGGUUUAAAAUAUAUUUUCCUUAACGGGUAACGGGUCGGGUCAUAUUACCUGUUAAUAUUAUCGGGUCGAUUUCGGGUCGGGUCAUUUUACCCGUUUAUUUUAACGGGUGUUACACAACACGUUAAGAUAUCGGGUAUGACACGAAAACGACACGAACACGGAAAACACGACACGAAUGCCAAGUCUAGAUGGUUACGUGUCCGUCAUCGUCGAAAGGUUUGCUUCGACUGCAACGUCUCCACUUUUCGUUCCGUUUCAACUUGCCUCUCACAAGCCUCUGCUUCAGUCGCUCUCGAUCGUCGCCUUUUCUAAGGCGUCCCAGGGACAAAAACCGAAAGCCAAACCUCCACCACAAAUGAAGUCACGAACGCCACUUUCACUCACCCUCCACCGUUGCACACAAACCCAAUCAUAAUUCUGAAAUCCAAACACAACCCAGAUGUUAAUCUUUCAGAGAAUGGCAAUGGCCACUUCUUCUUCCUUCCUCUCAAUCCCUCUCCCAAAGACCUCUUCUUUGCUUUCCCCAGUUAAACACUGCGCUUCGCCACUGAGCUCCGAGUUCAGGGCUCUGUCCCUACGGCGGUAGAAAUGGAGUCUCCACCUCCUUAGCGAUGGCCACGGAGGCUCAGAUCUCGACCCAAGACGACAAAAUGAAAGAUGAAGAAAAUAAGAACAUAUGGAAAAAUGGGUGUACAGCAGUAGAUAAGCUGCGAAAAUUUUCAUCCUGUUUUUGGGAAUGUGAGAAGAUACAUGGGUUUCUAUAUCUGCUCGAAGGCAGCAAUGUAAGUGGUGCUAACACCCUCGGGGUUGACCCUGCACCUUCUCCAGUAAACGACACUCAAUCACUGCUCGCUGGCAUUAUAGGCGAAAAAAGGUGAUAAAUAAUGGGAAAUGAUUUCCGAACGCCUUUUAUCCUUUUGUGCACCCUUGUACUUGUCCUUGGGUCUUUUCUGCCUCUAUGGUUUUGGCUAUGAUAAUGUAUAUCUAAAAUAAGAUACGAUUUUAUAGGUAUAUGAAUCAAACUAACAUGUCAAUUUUGUGUUAGUAUGUUGGUGUAAAUCUCCUCUUUUAAUCAAAAGGAAAAAAAUGGAUGUUUCUUUUUCUAUAGUUGGUGCUAUUCACACUCCCAUUUUAACUUCUCACACUUUUUUUUUGGUAAUUUUUAUCUUUUGAUCUUUUUUAAUUUAUUCGAUCAGACGACUGAAAUUUGAGAAGAGUGGGUGGAGGUAAAAAUGGGUAUGAAUAUCACCACCCUUUUCUAUCUGAUAGCCAAGUACUUAUAAUAAACAUAAGCAAUCUUAGUAGAUGCCUAUAAACAAAAGCCACAAGUUUGCUCUAGAUGAGUUAUUGUCAAUUGUUGAUUGAUUACGGUGUCACCCUAAUGUGACUCUUUGGUAGUGUUUUGCAUAAGCCAACUCUUUUACAUGAGUGAUAGGUAAUUGUAGGUCGAUCAGUGUCACCUGAAGAACGAUGUCAUGUCAAGAGGUGAUAACGAUGCCAAUAAUUUAGGACAAAAAAUUAUGUUGCCUGCUUCAUAUACAGGAAGUCCUAGACAUAUGAUUAAUAAUUAUCAAGAUGUUAUGGCAAUUUGUAAGGAAUAUGGUCAUUCUGAUUUGUUUAUAACAUUUACCUGCAAUGUAAAAUGGCCAGAAAUUAUUAGAGAAUUUGAAAAAAAAAAAAACUAGGUUUCAAACCCGAGGAGAGGCCUGAUAUAAUUUCUAGAAUAUUUAAAAUGAAACUGGAUGAUAUGCUUGAUUUCAUCAAGUCUGGAGCACCUUUUGCACAAGUUGAAGCAAGUGAGUUCUAAAAACUUAUUUCCAUUAUUAUCUUUAUCUUAUUCACAUUUUUUUCUACAUCAACCUAACUUUUUUUUUGUUCGUUUUUGUCGUUUUGAUUUUUUUUACAAACAGAUGUUUGCACAAUUGAAUUUCAAAAAAGAGGUUUACCUCAUUCUCAUAUGUUAAUAUUGCUGAAAUCAAAAUUUAAAUGUUAUCUUGCAUCAGACAUGGAUUCUAUCAUUUCAGCAAAGUUGCCAGACAAAUUUGUGAAUCAUCAGCUUUAUGAAAUCGUUAAUCAAUUUAUAAUUCAUGGUUCAUGUGGUUAUCUCAAUCAAAACUCUUCUUGCAUGUGGGAAAAUAAAUGUUCCAAAAGCUUUCCCAAGCCAUAUAAAAAUGAAACUGUUUUUGAACCUAAUGGUUUUCAUGUUUAUAAACGUCGUGAUGAUGACACAAAAUUUGUUAUAAAAAAUGGAGUCAAAAUUGAUGACAGUUUUGUGGUUCUUUAUAAUCCUGAAUUGCUUUCAAGAUAUAAUGCUUAUAUAAAUGUCGAAAUUUGUUGUCAAUCAAUGCUUAUAAAAUAUUUGUUCAAAUAUGUGAGUAAAGGUUCAGAUAGAGCACGGUUAGUUUUACAACAAAAUUCAAAUGAUGAAAUAUUAACUUAUCUAAAUUGUAGAUAUAUAUCACCUUAUGAAGCUGUUUGGAGAUUGUUUCAGUAUCCCAUACAUCAUAGAGAACUUUCUAUUGAGCGAUUACCAGUGCAUUUACCAUUAGAGCAAAAUAUUGUUUCAGUGCUGAUCAAUCACUACAAUCAAUUAUCAAUCAAAAUGCUUCUAAUCAUACAAUGUUAACAAAUUGGUUUGAAACUAAUAAAAUUUAUAAUGAAGCACGUUCACUAACUUAUGCUCAAUUUCCAUAAAAAAUUUUAUACGAUACACGGAAAAAUAUUUGGAAACCAAGAAAACAAAAAGGUUCAAUAAGUAGAAUAGCAUAUGUGCAUCCUGCAUCUGGUGAAUUAUAUUACUUAAGAAUGCUUUUAAAUUUGAAAAAAGCUGCUUUUAGCUUUGAUGAUAUCAAAACUAUUAAUGGUAUUGUACAUGUUUCAUACCAAUAUGCGUGUCAAUCAUUAAGAUUAUUAGGUGAUGAUAAAGAAUGAAUUGAAGCUUUAUUAAAUGAUAUCAAUGCAACAUCAUCUGCUCAAUUGAGACAAUUAUUUGUUACAAUAAUUUUGUUUUGUGAUGUAGCAAAUCCUCAAAUUAUUUUUUAUAAACAUUGGCAAAAUAUGUAUGAUGAUAUUUUAUACAAAUUACGAAAAACUUUUGCGAUCCCUAAUAUGGUUAUACCACAUGAUAAAUUAAAAAAUUAUGUCCUAUUUGAACUAGAAUUGCUUUUUAACAAUGCAUUUACUUCUCUGGACAAAUAUCAUUUACCUAUGCCUGAUCAAGUAGAAUGCUAGAAAUUAAAAAUAAACUUUUAAGAGAAGAGUUAAAUUAUGAUCGUGAAGAAUUGUCAAAAAAACAUGUUGUUUUAAAACUGCAACUUAACCAAGAUAAAAAACAUAUCUAUGAUGCUGUUAUAGAUACUGUACAUAAAAAAACACAAGGCCUAUUUUUUGUCCAUGGCCAUGGAGGUACAGGAAAAACCUUUUUAUGGGAAGUUAUCAUAGACUUAGAUCUGAAGGAAAAAUUGUUUUAACAGUUGCAUCAUCAGGAAUAGCAUCAUUGUUAUUACCAAGUGGCAGAGCAGCUUAUUCCAGAUUUAAAAUACCUUUGGUUAUUACUGAUUAUUCAAUUUGUGCAAUAAAAAACACGCACACACACACACCUUGCAAAAUUAAUUGAAAAGCAUAAUUAAUUAUAUGGGAUGAAGCACCUAUGAAUCAUAAACAUUGCUUUGAGGCUUUGGAUAAAUCACUUUCUGAUCUUGUGUCAUAUUUACAUGGUACAAAAAACAAUAUCCCCUUUGGUGGCGAACCUUUUUUAUUAGGUAGUGAUUUUCGCCAAAUAUUACCUGUUAUACCUGGAGGAACCAAGGAAGAUAUAAUAAAUGUUUCUUUAAAUAGUGCUUAUUUGUGGCCACAUUUAAAAAAAAAUCAUUUAAAAGAGAAUAUGAGAUUAUCAAAAAAUGGAAUAAGCAUUGAACAAAGGCAAAAAAUCAGUGAUUUCGCAAAUUGGAUUUUAUAAAUAGGAGAUGGAAAAUUUUGUGAUAUAAGUAAUGAAAAUAAUUUUAAUGAUAAAGACACAUCUUUGAUUGGAAUAAUUGAAGAUUUAAUAAUUCAUUCUUCUGGAAUCUUUUUCGCAAUUUAUCCCAAUUUUGAAAUUUUUUAUAACAAUUUUGAUUAUUUAAGGGAGCGUGCUAUUAUAACACCUCGAAACACAACUGUUACAAACAUAAAUAAUCAUAUAAUUGAUUUGCUACCUGGACAACAACAUGUGUUUCUCAGUUAUGAUUCUUUAUGUUCUUCUAGCGGGAAUAUUGAAAAUUUGGAGGCAUCAUAUCCUGUUGAAUUUUUGAACAAACUAGAUUUCAAUGGUUUACCUACACAUAACUUGACUUCGAAAAUAGGAAUGCCAGUUAUAUUAUUACGAAAUUUGAAUCAAUCUUUGGGUUUGUGUAAUGGAACUAGAUUAAUUAUUACUCAAUUAUUUGAUAGAAUUAUUGAAGCCAAAAUACUUACUGGACAUAAUAUUGGUUACAAAGUUUUUAUACCAAGAAUCACUCUUACAGCAACUGAGAGUAAGUGACCUUUUGUUUUUAAAAGGAGACAAUUCCCAAUUAGACCAUUUUAUGCAUUGACUAUUAACAAAAGUCAAGGACAAUCUUUGAAACAUGUUGGUUUAUAUCUUCUUGAACCAGUUUUUACUCAUGGUCAAUUAUAUGUUGCAUUAUCUAGAGUCACAUCAAAAAAAUGUCUCAAAAUUUUAAUAACAGAUGGAGAAAACAACGUUAAAAAUUAUACUGCUAAUAUAGUAUUUAAAGAUGUUCUCCAAAAUUUGGAAUCAAAUUCUUAAUUUAAUUUUCCCAUAUCCAAAAUAGCUAUAUAUUUAUUCAAUGCAUUCAAAUAUCUAUAUAAUGAUGUUUGACUUCGGUUUUUAAAUCACUCUUAACCGUUGUACUUAUUUGUUGAUUGUAUAUAUAGGAUAAACAAUGUCAACAGUACAAGUUUCAGUAGGUAAUAUGCUUUAACUCAUAUUAUUUUUACUACUACUCUUCAUCUUAUUUUGCCAACGUUAAAAAUUGUUCUGUUUUAUUCCAAUCCAAUAAACAAUUUCUUUUUUGGUCUGAUGCAAAUAUUAUGUUUCUUAUUGUUUUAAACAAUUUUCGUAUUUGGUUUUGCAUCAUCCAAUAAAUUUCUUUGUCAAAACACUAUAGGACAAAAACAUUUCUUACAAAAUCGUUCAAGCCAUACUUAAAAAACACGUAUACAUUUUAAAUAUUCACAAUACUUUUCUACGUUUACACAACUCAUGUAAAAUAAAAACUACUAAUUUUACCUAAUACGUGUCUAACCAUUAUGUUAUAAUUUAUAAAACAUAUAUAUAGAUGUACUAUAUUUACUGAAAAAAUAUAUUUACCAAUUUCUUUUUUUUGUGCAAAUCAGGUAAUCAAAACAACAAUUUUUGUCCUCUUUCCUUUCUUUUACCUUCCCAGCAGUCUGCCUCUUCAUGCCUCGCACAUCUCCUCGAUCAACCAUCUACUUUGUUUCUUACGAAGGUACAUUUGUCUCAACAACCAAUCGUAUGUUAAAAAUUUAUAAUUUAUUGAUUUUUUCCAUUAAUGUUUUACAAUUAAAUAAAUUUUUACUAACUUUUCUUUUCAGAAGAAUUGGUUGUUACCGAUAUAUAUACGCAGUGUUAGCUUUUUACCUAGUCUUAACACAUGAUUAAUCACUUAAUCACCCCCUAAUGGGUUAAGUUUGACAUCCAAAACUAUUGUCAAAGAUGUUAUAACCAAAAAUUUACCCACCUCGCUCAGUUUGAUUGAACCAAAGAAUAACACAAGAAUAAGGAAAUUGUUAAAUCUAUCUAUCUAAAUUUCUUAUUAUUCAUUAAAUAGAUUAAACAAUUAGGAAAACUAAUGAAAAGAGCUUGAAAACUUUGAGUUUUAAUAAUAAUGACAAAAUAAAGGGUAAAGUGAAUAGUACCAUGAUUGACUUUUUAGUGUAAAAAUGUGGUUUUUCGUUAAAGUGAACAAUACCGCCGGUUUUUCAUUAAAACUCCCUAAACAAUUUCCAUGUUCAUAUCAUGUUUUUUUGUUUGAUUAAAGAAUAAGGAGACAAUGAAUCCAUGGUUAAAAGAUUUAGAUUCACACUUCUGGAUGUCCAUCUUAAGCCCCUCAAGGAAUAAUCAAGUAAUUAAUCACAUGUUUCUAACAAAUCAAAAGAAAAAACUGUUUGUCUAUAAAUUGGCAACAACUAAUUCCUCUGAAGAGAAGAGAUGGAAAUGAUGAUAAUGCUUAAAAUAAUGCAAGCUCAAAUGAUUUAGUAAAUUAUAUCUCUGUCUUACACAAAGACACCAAGUGAUCCUUAUCUGAUCCAUCUAUGCAUAUCAUUUAUUACUAUUCUUACAAUAAAAACAGCAUAAAAUUGUUUUUCACAUAUUUUCACACCAUAUUGUCACAUUUUUAUUUGACUAUAAAAUAUAGUAUUCAUUUUACUUCAUUUUAUUCACAACUUUCCUAAAUCAUUCACGUUACUACAAUGAUGAGACACUUGAAGCAUUGAAUGAAAGUUUACUUUGAUACCAAGUUUAUGAAAAAAGAGCAGUUUGUACACAACACGUAAUUCACUUGCAUAUCUUUUUUCAACAAAAUUUUUACAAUUUUAAAUUCGUGGAAAUCGUAUUGUCUAAUUUUCUUCCUUUUUUUUAUCAUAUUUAUUUUGUUAUACAUUUUUCUCAUGUUAGCAAAGGUUUACAUCAAAAUUUAAAAAGCCUGUUAACUUAUUGUUAAAUAGCAGAUUUAGCAUUAUUCAAGCACAAAUUAUCAACAAAUUUGUAUUCUACAAAACAGAUUUUUGCUUACUUUUCCGUUCGUUAUCUCAAUUUAUAUUCAUUAGUUCAACACUAAUAUAUAAACCUGAAUCAUGUAUGGAUAUAAUUGCUUAAUCUUUUGUUACACCUUAAGCAACCAAAACGUGACAACAAUGAAAACAGUAAUAUAAUUCAUACAUACUUUAUGUUGCUCAUUUGUUUCAGCAUUUCUGCUUUUGUCCAUCUGAUUGAAAUGUUCUUCCAUAACAGGUUCCAACUUAAUUUUUCCAGCACCUUAUAAAAAUUGAUUCCAUCUUGCACAAAUUACAAGGUAUGUUCUAACUUAUGAUUUCAUAAAUUUCAUAGGAAUUGUUGUUGGUUGUAAAUACAUGUUCAAUUUUACAUCUGCAGCAUUGCACGGACACCAUUACUAAUUAUACAUAUACUAAAACCCAAAACAAAAAGUUACUGUUCAUUAACUGUGCUUCCCUUUUUGCCCCUGCUUCUUUUUUGUUAUUUCGAGUUUGCCCUUCCUUCCCACACCUUUUUAUCCACCUUUUCUCUAGAUACUUCCCCCACCGUUCCAGACUCUAGAGCCACCUUUUCUCUGCUUGACUCCUGCUCUCCCCGUCUCCCUCCUCGCCUCACUCUUCUCUGGACCAAGCAGCUCGAUUUAGGGCUUCACCAUUUCUCUUCGAAUCAAGGUCCCUAUUUUGCCAAUCUAGGUUUCCCUCUCUCUCUGUGGAAAAACCCUAGAUCUCGCCACUGCCGGAGAGUCCAAUCUCGGCCCUUCGAGCUUCAAUCCGCCUUGCUGAUCGCCUCUUCUCGACGCCUCCACCUAAAUCCCUCUGGUUAAUUUCCCAACUUUUACCCCAAUUCUUUUUUCUCUCUAUUUCUGCGCUUUCGAAAGGUUUCAGAUUUUCGCCUUCUUAAGCUUAUGUUUCUGAAAGGACCUUGAUUUUCUGUUUAAUUCGGGUUGUUGCGUCGUGAAUUUUGAAUUUUAUGUUUAAUUUGGGUUUUUACAUUGUAAAUUUUGAAUCUUUAGCCUGAUUAUGCUUUAAUUAAUUUUAAUUUUGUGGGUUUGAGUAAAUUACGUACCUUUUCUUUUCGUUCUUUAAUUUUUGUUUUUGAUCUGUUAAAUAUGUGUGAUUACUGGGUUUUUCCGAUCUGGGCUGCUGUUUCUAAAAACGUGAAGUCCAAAACUCGAUCAGACGAUGGAAUAUUGUAGAUAUCUAGGUUUGUUCUUGAUUAAAUCGUUAAUUAAUCUUCUUUUUUUCCGUGAAAUAUUUGGGAAAUUGGUCCAUAAAAGGAUCGAAUCGAAUUAAUUAGCUAAUUUUCCAUCUCAUCCGAUUGUAAAUUGGUUUAAUUGAACUUUAAUUUCAUUGUUCAAAGUUCCUAGCUUUUGGUUUCGUGGGAAAAUUUCCUAUUUAGUUGAAAAAUAGGUGUUCAUUGGUCAUCUGAGUGAGAAGCAGAUCUGGGUUCCAUUGUUUGGUAGCCGAGAACGUAGGAAAAUAAAUCUUAAUAAAAUUCUGUGACUUUUAGCUUUUGUGUCCAGGGCGAGCUGUGUAUUAGUUAGGUUCAGUUGCAUGGAUUUUGUUUUUAAGAUCAGCAAACAAUUUGAGAUUUAAAUUUUUGUAUUUUUUCAUUCCGUAGUUAUGUUAGUACUUAUUACUAGAUGGACUCUAAGAUCUUGGAUCGAAUUAAUGGUGCACAUCCCUCCGAAUUUUUGUUUAUAUUGUAGAGCAGAUGUAUUCGAACCUCGGUUGUUCACGGCGUAACUUGCUGAGUGCUUUUGUAGUUUAGCUCUACUAAAAAGAAGUGUCAUUGCAAGUGUGAGAUUGCUUUCUCUCUGUGAGACACUGAUUUCCUAAAUUGCUUUCUCUUGCGCAUGUAAAAUCUUGAUGUCUGCAAAUGCACACAUCAUAUGACUUUUAACACAAGUCUUGCUUCUAUCAUUUGAUGUUGCAGUGGGACUUUGAGUAUUAUCUUCAACAACUUCACUGAAGGACGCACUUUUAGUGAGGUGGUGGUUGAAGCAAAGUCGGCAGGUUAUACUCAGACGGAUCCAAAGGAUGGUCUAUCUGGAGCAGAUGUUUGUAGAAAGGUGUUAUGUGCUACUUUUUUGUCUGCUUACUUAUGUAGGCUUAUUAAUUCUUUUUUGUGUUAGUAGGAUUGCCAGGAACUGUACCAAGCAGGUGUGUUUGGUUGUUUGCUUAAAGGGUCUAUUGGUUAAAGAAAUGCAAAGCUUUCUCCCUUACAAAGAACUAUGUGUGAUGUGUUUUUUUGUGGGUUUGGUUUGUGUUUCAGAUUGGUGGUAGGCUAUUUUAGAGUAGAAACUAUGCAAGCAAAGACAUUAAAUUGGUGGAGGCCCAAGCCCUCAUGCUCAAUGGUGUCGAAGAGCUUGCGGAUGCUGUUAAGUCACCAUGGGACCUAAGGUUAUCUAUCUGAUCAUGCCCAUGCCAACUGUAGUUACUAGUUAAGUCUUUUUUUUUUUAUUUAGGAAAAAAGUUGAAUAUUCAUUGAAAGUAAAAAUAGUAUCAUCGAUCUGUUAUCGUAUUCCACAUGGUCUUUGAAAUUUCAGUAACUUCUAGAAUCAAACUUAGGAUUUGAGUAAGAUAAAUUCUUUUAAACUAUAGCUACAAGCCCUUGCAUUGGAAUUCCUCAUGAGAGAAAUAAAAAGAAAAAUAUUCAUAUUACUUAUGUGCAUAAUACUUAUUAGUGUCCUUAUAUAGCUACAAACUUAUAAGUUUGAUGUCACUGUGACAACUAUUUGUUUAAUCCUUGGUAUAAUAUAUUCUACAAUAACAUGUUAACAGUUGUCUUAAACCAACCAGAUCUUACCCCAUUUCCAAAGCAAAUUAAAAAGUAAGGAUCAACUCACAUGUUAAAACAAUUAUAAAUUUAAGGGUAAGUAUGAGUUUAUUACCCUUAAGUUUCGUGGUUUUCAACAUUUGAUACAUGAAGUUUUUUUUGUCCCAGAGUCAUACUUAAAGUGUUAAUUUUGGGACAGUCUCAUGCAUUCGUUAGUCAAACUGUUAACUCUGCCGUUAACUGAUGAUGUGACGCCUAUGUGGACAAUGACUAGACACCAUGUAUCAUUAAGGGGUCCACGUAAAAAUUAAAAAUUCCAAAAAAUAAUUAUUUAAAGAAAAGUUAAAAAAAAAAGAAAAAAAAAGAAGCAAAACCCAGAUCGUCUUCCCCAAAUCCCCCCUUGCCCACCUUCUCACCCACACCCAGAUCUUCCCGUCUACCCAUGGCCCCCCCAACCCAAACCUUCCUUCACAACCCCACUCUCGCGGUCGCAGGUGACGCAAAGGGUCGGGACUCUCCCUCUCUCUCCUGUCGAUCUCGAUCUCUUCCCUCUUAAAUCGGGGAGCGUGACCGCUCGACGUCUCCCUCCUCGCCUUGAUCUCUUCGUCAACGUAGGAGAAGUAACGGUCAUCGAGGAAGUUGACAACGAAGUUGACAGCGGGGACGGAAUCGGUGGCCGAGUUCACCGAGUCAUAGAAGGGCAUGACCGGGACUUGCUUGUGGCGUCGGCUAAGGGUUGGCGGAGUGGAUGUCGCGGUCACAAGUGACGCAGAGGGUCGGGACUCCCCCUCUCUCCCCGAACCUUCUUCUUCUUCUUCUUCAAGUUCUUAAUCCCAGUUGGGGGGGGGGGGGGAACGGUCAAUGGGGAAGAUCUGGGUGUGGGUGGGUUUGGGUGGUGAAGGAAGGUUUGGGAAGGGGGGAUACGGGUCGACGGGAAGAUAUGGGUGUGGGUGAGAGUGUGGGCAUGAGGGGGUUUGGGGAAGGGGUUUUGCUUUUUUUUUUUUUAUAACUUUUCUUUAAAUAAUUAUUUUUUUGAAAUUUUAAUUUCCACGUGGACCCCUUAAUAACACGUGACAUCCUGUCAUUGUUCACAUAAGCGCCACAUCAUCAGUUAACAAUAGAGUUAGCAGUUUGACUAACAGAUGUAUGAGACUGUUCUAAAAUUAACACUUUAGGUAUGACUCUGGGACGAAAAAAACUUCAUAUACCAAAUGUUGAAAAUCACGAAACUUAAGGGUAGUAAACUGAUAUUUACCCUAAAUUUAAAGAACUAAAUUUAACACAGGUUUCCUCUGUUUGAUUGCUAAAAUAAUGUUCAGAAACAGAACAACUUAAGUUCCGUUCUAUGUCGUGAUGAAUGUUUAUUUUAACUAGCUUAUUGAGUUUAUAACUUAUGAAUUUAAGAUCUUCAUGUUUAAUAUUUAAAGAUUAAUUUUUUUUAAGUGAAGUGGUUAAAGAAGAGUCAAGAAACGUUCUGUUUAUUCCUCCAUAAUAGAUUAAGGAAGGUGAGUUGAUCAUAAGAUUUAAAUUUUAACAAUUCAACUUUAAAUGCUGGCAUAUGAUGGUAGAUUGAAUAUGGUAUUUCAAGUUUUAACCCUUUACUGUUUUUUUUUAAUCAGUAUUUGGCAAGCCAUCAUACAUAAUAACAUAACUUAGCAUUUGCCAAAACAAUUAAACAUGUAAUAUAACUUAGCAUUUGCAUUUUUCGUUUACAGUUGGUAGCCACAAAUCAACUGACUCAACUUUAUAUCAAUAUUGGAGCCUUAAAAGUGUAAGUCAUCUGUUUCAUUCUAUUUUAUAAAAUGAAUUAAGUUCUGAAGUUUAUAUAUUCUGAAACUCAAGUAUUACACACACACACACACACACACGCAUAUACAUAUCAUUCCAUAAACAUAAUACAUGUAAAUAAAUAAAAAAAUUUACAAUUUUUUGUAUCUAGGCUGUAUCGAUGAAAUAUUUUUUUAUGUAAAAAUUUUCUAACAUUUUAAGUGUAAAGAAUAUUGAUGCCUAAAAUCCUGUCAUUAGUUUUUUUCCAUCAGAAUUUUACAAUCGGUUGAAUUCUUUUCAAAUAUGCAUAAUUUCUUUGUGCGGUUUUUUUUUUAGUUUCUUGGUCAAGCAAAUUUAUAUGUCUGUUUUACUAUUCUCUUUUCUCAGAUUAUUCUACUCGAGAUUAGUUGUGUUUUGUGGGUUUAGGUAGGGGAACUGAAUUAACUAUUUUUUUUUGGGGGGUUUUUCUUUCAGAAUGUAUUGAAUCACUUUAUUUGUUGUUUAGCUUAUCUUGCGUUUAGAUUCGGUGUUAUGAAAUACUCAUGACGCUACUCACCAAUGUGCAAAACCAUCAGCAGGUAUCUCUGCAAAAUCAGUACAUUGUCAUUUUAUUUCUUUAAUGUUUGUUUAACCAUCCGUAAUUCCCAAACCCAAACAAAGCACCAAAUUAAUAUAAAUUUUUUUUCAAAAAGAUCUGGGUUAAAGAAAAUUUUCGGAGUUAAUUCAUAAUAUUUUAUAAAAGUAAUGUUUAUUCUAUUCUAUUAUGAUUUGAGGUAACUAUUAAUUUACUUGGAAAAAUUUAUGUGCCAGGUUAAAUAUGCCAUUUGACAAAGUAUGGUUUGUUCCUAGAUUCUGUAAUUAUUUUCAUUUUAUUCAGGAUUCAUUCAAGUUCCAAUUUGAACUAUUGGAAGAUGUUUAUGUAAUUCGAAGUACCUAAUUGGUUUUGUACCAAUAUACAUGACUCAAACGCUGAAGAAUACCUGCUUUCUCCCUCUCUCUCAUUAUGAUUGAUGUGGAGAACCAGCCCCGGAGAAGGUGAGAAUCCAGCCUUUCCAAAUUGCACAAUUAGAAGAUAUUGCCAAAUACAUAAUAUUUGAUUCUUGCCAAGACGAAUUUGAACCACAUUAUUGCUAGCCCAUUAUGAGGAUUAAUCCACUCCCCCACCCACAUAAUGUAGAUAAUAUCGUUUGUUAAAAAAAAUACUGAAUUUAAUAGAGCUGGGUGUUUCGUAUCCAUUCAACAAAUUUUAUACCGAAUUUAAAAAACAAAUAUACAAGUAAAAUAGUAGGUCAAAUUCAAUAUUAGUUAUCUUAACUUCUGUUUAGUAGAUAUAUACUAUUGUAGGGUUUAAUGAAUAUUACUUUUAGUUGAUAAUUAACUGAUGAUUAACUUAUUCCAUUAUUCAUUAUUUUAUCGCCAAAUAUUUUGAAUAUUCAUUAGCAAAAGAUAUAGGGGUAACUGUUUAAUUAAUAGAAUUUUAAUGGUGGAUUGCAUUUCUUUAGUUAUAAAUAUGGUGAACCCAUUAUUCAAUACUAGCUCAAUAGUCGUAAUGUUUUUCUCUAACUUUAUUUUUGAAUUUUGAUAUAUAAUCUAUUUGAGUUUUCUACAGAGAAUAAUCUUUUGGUACUUGCUGCUUUUGUACUAUUGAAUUUUAACAUUAGCAAAUUCCUCCAUGUAUAUAAUGUGUUGACUUUGUAUAAUAAUUGUAGGCUUUUGCCCAGGCUCAUCAAAGAGAAAUCAGGUCUUGGUCACAAUCAUAUAAAAAACAUGAUAUACAAGGUAUAGAAGAAAUAUGUGCAACUUUGAAUUUAAUGAAUUGUGGUGUUUUGUCUUCUGAGUUUCUAACUAACUUCUUAUCUAAUUAACUUCAAUUUGUAUUUAAUACAAAUAAUUAGUUUGGUAGAUAUGAAAUACUUACGUUACAUCCUUAGGAGCAUAGUGUUUGCCUAUUUUUGAGAGCAACUAUUUCAAGGUUUGAUUCAUAGGGUGAACAUUGACUAUAUCCACAUUAAAGGGACACAGUUAGUACGUUACAAGUUUUGUUACGUUAUUUUCACAGAAUUAAGAGAAUAAUUUUAUGUUCAAAUGGAAUAUUCAAUUAUGAUCACAUAUUUGUAUGAGUAGAAUCUUUGAUUGUUUCAUCUCAUUUGGGAUUUUACUUUUUAGUGAUUGUAAAGUUUUCAUCUCAUUUGAGAUUCUACUUUUUAAAAGUUGUCAAUGAAUAUAUCCAUUCCUGUUAAUAGUGUUGCUCUAACAAGUUGUUCGUGAUUUACAGUUUCAAGAAUACCGCUCUAAAUUGCGCUUCAUGAACAACUUAUACAGAGUUAGCAAAUGCUAAGGUAAUUAUUUCUAUGUGAGUGAAUCUAAUUUAUAAAUUCAUAUUCUCACUGGGUUGUAGCUUUGUUAAUUGCAGUUUCAAGAAUACUGCUCUAAAUUGCGCUUCAUGAACAACUUAUACAGAGUUAGCAAAUGCUAAGGUAAUUGUUUCUAUGGGAGUGAAUCUAAUUUAUAAAUUCAUAUUCUCACUGGGUUGUAGCUUUGUUAAUUGAAUUUCUAUCAUAACUUUAACUGUUUUCACUUUUUUUUUUAAUUGGAGUAAACGCAACACCAUAUGAUUUAAAAUACAGCUUUUACUAGCUCAGUUCAUGGGACAACAUCUUCUGCUACCUCAACCAACGGUACAUGGCAAAAACUUUUCAAGUUCCAGUCGUAAUCUUUUUUGUAUGUAAACAUCUUAACGUUUUCAACGCAAAUAAUAUUAAUCUUCAAUGUCACAAUCUUCUAUAUCUUUGAUACAAUUUAUCUUGCAAUUUCUCAUCACGCAGCAACGCGUGGGCACUGUUUUCUAGUAUAUACUGGAUGUCGACACACGUUAUGGCAAACUCUACACUUAUGAUUGCCAUGUUAGGUCAUCCUCAAACAGACAAUGACCGAAGCUCGCCUAAUUAGGCUAAUUUCCUGCAUGUCGUUUUGAAUCCUUAAAUACGAAUUGACCCUAUAUGCCUAGUGGCCAACUUCCGUCUAUUAUUGUUGAAUUCUUACAUACGAAUCGAUCCUUAAAGCUUUGUUGUUGUUGUAUUUGGUUGGAUUGGAAGGAAUUGUUGAGUUUUUGCAACUAUAUGAGAAAUUUUUAAUUGUGAUUGGGAAUUAGGGAUGGUAACGGUUUGGUUUGGGGCGGAAAUGUUAUAGUAAUUCUCAUAAUCACGAAAAUUAAUCAUAUCCAUAACCGUCAAUUAACCAUCGGGUAACCAAUUUCUCAUCGGUUAACGGUUAUACCCAUCUUUGUCAAUACAAAAAAUAUAUUCGUUCAAUUGGCGUUUGAUAAUUUAGUAAAUAUUAAUUUCGUCAUUAAAGAUUUGAUGUAUAAAAUGAUUUAAUGAAUGGAUCUUGUGGAGCAUAAAAAUCUCUCGCAAUUGAUGUACCAUCUCGAUAUACCAAUAGCACUAAACAUAAUGAUUUAGUGACAUGUGAUGUACUAUUUCGUGUACUGAUUACACUGGAAAAUCUCUCGCAACUAUAUAUGAACCAGCUGUUGUGGCGUUACAUAUUUCAAUGUUGGGCCUUGGGCAUUAAGUUUUGCCAUUAAUAUACCAACGCCAUUGUCAACUACAUAUGAACUAACACGCUACGGUAGUAGGCGCUUUUAAUGCCCAAGGCCUAUCUCAUUCGUUGGAAAAGUAGACUGUAUUUUUCGUCGGCACUUAUUUUUACUUUUUGCAUAUUUUUAUUAUUUUUUUUAUAAUUAAUUUUCUUUAAUUUAUUUGAUUUGACUGGUUAAAAUUAAGAAAGAUUUGUGAAAAGUAAAAAUAGAUGUGAAGAAAUCUUAUUAACGAUGAAGUGAGAAGAUGAGAUACGAUUCGAUAGUCACCAGUACUGAUUCCCGGCAAAAAUCUAUGGAAGACCAAUAUUUCUCGCGUGUGGACAUCGUUUCACGUGAAGCAAGUAUGAAAAACAAGACGACGUUGCCACAUGUUUUGGGAUGCACGAUUUUAUAUCAACUUAAUGGACGUGGAUGACCUUUUCUUUUGUUGACCGGAGGUUGACUUGGGUAAGUGUUAGAAGCUUGUCCUUCAAUAGCUUAAACCCUAGCUAGAAAAUGCACGACGGUUUGCAUUGGAUCCGAGAUUUCUAAUGGAUCAGGUCCAAGAGGACGACGAAGGAAAUUGGAAUUGGUAGUGACAAAAUAAUUGAGGUAAGCAAAUAAGUAUUUUCUGGAAAAUAGGUAGAGCAAAAUUUAGCCUCAAUCGAAAGACUUGACGUGAAGAAAUAUUUUGCAAACGUGUUAGGUCAUCCUCAAACAGACAAUGACCGAAGCUCACCUAAUUAGGCUAAUUUCUUGCAUGUCGUUUUGAAUCCUUAAAUACGAAUUGACCCUAUAUGGCUAGUGGCCAACUUCCGUAUAUUAUUGUUGAAUAUAUUCAAAAACCUCCCACUAAAAAUGUUUUUCUAAUUUGUAAAUGGGAAACGAAAUUGAUAGGGAAUAAAAUUGACAAGGAAUGAAUUUAAACUUGGGAAUUUUAACGAAAAACAUCCGGUACUGUUCACUUUAACGAAAAAUCACAUUUUUACAUUAAAAAGUCAAUCAUAGUACUAUUCAUUUUACUCUUUAUUUUGUCCUUAUCGUUAAAACUCAAAGUUUUCAAGUCAUUUUCAUUAGUUUUCCUUUUAAACUUUCAUGAUAAUCAGAAGUGAAAAGGCUUUAUGAAAAUUUUGGUUACCAUGUUUACUUUUUGUUUUGAAAAAAGUAACUACAUGAUGGCAAAGCUAUGAAAGUCCAUCUUUUUAAAAGUCGAAAAACUCAUAGAGGCAUUUCAAUCUCUCUGACCAUCAUCUUGUGUUGUUCUAAAACAUGUUCAAUUAUGUAAAUGCCUUUGCAGUCUGGCCAAUUUUAUUGAAAUUUCAAACAAUAUUUUUGUCAAGGUGUGCACAUCGAAAACACAUGGCCACAAAUUCCAACAAUUAUUGGGUGGAUUAGAAGGACCAAAUUAGAAAUGAGGAUAUUCGAUAUAAAAUAGGAGUGGCGGUAAUUAAAGAUAAGAUGAGAGAAAAUCGGUUAAAAUGGAUAAACAUGUGAGCCAAAGUCCUACAAAUGCUAUUGUUAGAAAAAGACGGAGGGUCAGGGUAAAAAGGGUAAAGGAAAACCUCAUAAUACUUGGAAAGAGACUUUUAGAACAGAGGAAAACCUCAUAAUACUUGGAAAGAGACUUUUAGAACAGACAUGGAGUACCCGGAAAUGACGGCAGACUUGACACAAAUCAAAGCAUAGUAGCGUUUCGGGAGACAUACAAUAGAUCCCGCUUAGUGAAACAAAGCUUUGUUGCUGUUGUAUUUGGUGCAAUGGAAGGAAUUAUUGAGUUUUUGCAACUAUAUGAGAAAAAUUUAAUUGUGAAGAUAACACAAGUGGUAUAACACGUGUUUUAAUAGAAGUGAUAAAUUUUAUUUUUUAAAUUAUUAACUUUUUAGUACACAUAUCCCACUAUUUAUAUAAUGACAUAUGGUGUACCAUUUCAUGUACUGAUCACAUUGAAAAAUCUUUCGCAACUAUAUAUGAACCAGUAGUUGUGGCGUUCCAUAUUUCAAUGCUGGGCCUUGGGCAUUAAGUUUUGCCAUUAAUAUCCCAAUGCCAUUGCCAACUAUAUAUGAACUACCACACUUCGCUACAAUAGUAUACUUUUCCAACGAAUGAGAUAGGCCUUGGGCAUUAAAAGCAACGGUAUUUUCUGUCGGUACUUAUUUUUACUUUUUGCACAUCUUUAUUAAUUUUUUAUAAUUUAUUUGAUUUGACUGUUUAAAAUUAAGAAGGAUUUGUGAAAAGAAAAAAUAGGUGUGAAGAAAUCUUGUUAACGAUGAAGUGAGAAGAUGAGAUAAGAUUCGAUAGUCACCAGUACCGAUUCCCGGCAAAAAUCUAUGGAAGACCAAUAUCCCUCGCGUGUGGACAUCGUCUCACGCGAAGCAAGUAUGAAAAACAAGACGACGUUGCCACACGUUUUGGGAUGCACGAUUUUAUAUCAACUUAAUGGACGUGGAUGACUUUUUCUUUUGUUGACUGAAGGAGGUUGACUUGGGUUUAGAUAUUUCAAUAUGUAUCAGUACGCACCACAGAAGUUACCAAUGAUCUCGACCGUAUUCAUAUAUGUAUCUUUUGUGAAACUUCAAUCUUAGCCGUCAACGUCCUUCACUUGUAUUCUCUUUUCCUUUAUUUUCUUGAUAUAAUAUUUUAUAAUAUUAAUAUACAAAUUACGUAUCCAAUUACGGGAAAAUUUCUAUUUUAAAAGAUUCUCUUUGAUUUUUUUUUUUUUUUUCAAAAAAGGUAGCUCUGCAUGAUUUUCCACCGUCCAAUUACGUGUCAGUAGGGUUACAAGACCAUUUUUGUCUCCCUAGGGCCUCGCCUGAAGGUGCUUUUCUUUCAGAGGACACUUUAAGAGUCUUUCACUUGGAGUAGAUGAUUACACACAUCAUUUUUAAACAAAACACAACCACUGCCAUUUUUUUCAGUCGUGAUCUGAACCACUGCAGUGCCAUAACGAUGGUACUGCCAUGGCAGCCCAUCUCAUGGAGCCUCCUCUUCAUCCUCCUUCCAGUCAAAAUUUCAGUUUUUAAUAACAUGAUUUGUUUAUUUAUUAUAUGACUUAGAUUAUUAAAUUUGGCUGAAUUUUAGUAUAAUUAAUUUUUAAAGAGUGACUUUGAAAGUAAAACAUUCAAAUUAUGUAUACCAGAUGAAAAUAAAUAAAUAAAAUAGAGCGAAAUUAUUUUAAUGAGAAUAUUACCAUCAUUACAAUUAAGGGAGUUUUAACAAAACACUCCCGGUAAUGUUUACUUUUAACAAAUCACAUUUUUACCUUUACUUGACACUAUUCACUAUACCUUUAAAAAUGGAUUUUCAUUAAAAAGAAAAUUUUUUGGACUUUUCGUUAGUUUUCCUUACAAUUUAAUGGAAGAGGAAAUAUAAUGAGCUAGUGUUAUCUACAUCCCCAAGUGAAUGAGAACAUUCAACAACGGCAAGUUGCUGAGGAGGAAAGCGUAUGCAGAGACUUGGUCCAAAUGUAAAGUUGGGUGUGAGAAUGUGGGUCAAAAAGAGACCAAAUUAUAUAAGCGUUUAUAAGUGGUUGAACUACUUCUCAUAUUGCCAAUUGAUUUUACAAAAAUGCUACUUUUACCAUAUAUUUGUACAAUUGUUUAUACCUUCUCUCUAAUAGAGAUAUGAUUUACAUGCGUUGGUGGACACGACUGUUAUUAAAGAGAUAAAAUAAAUGAUGAUAUAAAUAGGUAAUAAGUGUAACAUUACUCUUGAUUUUAUUGUUGAAUUUCAACUUUCUUAAUUGGGAAAAUGUAUGAUACAAGUCGCAUCUUUUGUAGCUGCCUUUCUUUUAAGGACAAUACUUAGGUACUCAAUGGGAAGUACCGAAAUUUACUCAUCUUUGAUGUGCCCCAAUAAUAUUACAACAUGUGUAUUUCAAAACUUUAUCCCAAUAUUUGUAUCUUACUAACCGAACACUCAAUUAUCAUUUUAAACUCAUAACCAAACACCUUUCAUCUUCUUUCUCAUUCUGUUAGAUGCCAUGGCUGAUCUGCCAUAGCUAAUCCAUAUCCAUGGACCCCAGCCACCCCAUAUCCUCCUUCCACCAGAUCCCCCCACACUCCCGCAUCAGAGGAUUUGCUCUCUCUUUCGUUCUUUCUCUUCGAAUCAACAUUAAAAGGAAGUGGCCGUAUGCAAUCGACGCCGAUGAUGACAUGGUUUCCAGCGAAGGGCAGGGAAGUGGUUCUGGGUACGUCUUUUGGGUAAAUUACAGUAUACAAUUCAACUAAUAUGAUCAAAGUCUUGGCCAACUCCAGGUGGGAAAUUAAAAAAGUGGCCCCCAUUUGGUCAUGCAACUUGUACAAAAUAUACUAUAGGCUAAAUUAUAUAAAAUUACUUUAAUUAUCGGUCGAACCACAAUUUCAUACCUCAUAUUUUAAAUAUUGCAAUAUCAUUUCUCGAAUUCGUUGUAAUGACAAACCUCUGUUAAAUUUUCUGUCAAUUUAACUGGGAAAACGUGAUAGGAGUGGGACCCACUCAUUUGCUACCUUGAAUAAAAAAUUAAUUAAUUAAUAAUAAAUUACUAAUUCUUAUUUAACAAUUAAACUUAAUUAAAAAAAAAAAAAAACUCUCUUCAUUUCCCCAGAAAUCGUCUCCUCCCCUCUACUCCCUCCUCUGUCCCCCUUCUUCCUCAUUCGUCCCCUUCACUCCCUCAUCCGUCCCCCUUCUUCCUCGUCUAUCCGCCGCCUUCGAGUCCACCGAUUCGGACCAACGAGUUCGUCAUUUCAGAUGGGCACAUAUUCAAUCUGUUCGACGGGAAAGAUCCGGUGUUUUUACUCCCUCCCUGGUUUCUUGUGGAGGUUGCAACGAAAUGAUCUGGCUACGACGUCGGCGAGCAUAAACAUGUCUUCUUCGGCAUCAAAAUCGGUCCGGUUUUCUUUGAAACGGCAGUGGAUCGUUUCGAAUGAUGGUUGAUGGAGAACCGAACGGACGGAGACGGAAAUGAGAAGGUGUAGAGAUUGACACGCAUCGGGGAAGCGAAUCUGUGGCAGUGGUGGUAAUCCAGAAAAUGGGGGAAAAAAAGGGGAAAGAAAAAGAAAAAAAUUUGGGAAAAGAAAAAGAAAAAAAUUGGACUGUGAAGAACUUCCAUUCUUCAAUUAAUAUUAUGGAGGAUUUCCAAAAUCCAGAGUACUGGGCUAAUUUUCAAAUGGCCACUUCUUGAAUUUUUGAAAAAUUAAUUUCUCUAUUUAAAAAAAAAAAUUAAUUUCUCUAAUUUCUUGAAUUUUCUGGGUUUGUAUUUGUGUUUUUCGUUUUGGGUUUUGUUUUUGUGGGAUUCUUCGUUUUGGCUUUCUGGAACUCUCCCUUUGCAAUUUUAUUUGGUGGUUUUUCUUAGAAAAAUGGUGAAGAAGAAGAAAUUGAAGAAAUGGCAGUGGGGCGAAAGCCCCAGUCGGUGAUGGGAUUUGAAGAGAGGUAAAAUGAUAAGGGGAUGGUUUCUAAUGCUCAGUUUUGCGAAAUCUUAGUGGACUUAUGAUGAAGAAAUCAAAUUAGUUUUAUGUAAAGACUGUUGGAGCAAGAUGAAUUGGGUCUGGUUUUGGUUUGCCAUCGAAACCCACCUGCGUUUUGCGAUCGGCGGUGUAUCAGUUGUUCCCGGAGGAGGACGAAAAUUAGCUGCGUUUAAGGAGGACGAGGAAGAAGGGGAGCGGAGGAAGAAGUGAUCGGAGGAACGGGGACGAUUUCCAGGGAACAAGGGGAGAGGUUUUUUUAUUUAUUUUUAAAGUUAAUUUUAAUUGUCAAAUUAAUAAUUUAUAUUAAUAAUUUAUUUAUUUUUAUUCAAGUUGGCAAAAAAGUGGAUCUCGUUUCUUCCAUGUCAUCAUUUAACAGUCAGAUUGAUAGAAAAUUUAACAGAAGUCUGACGUUGCAACAUAUUCAUAAGUUGAUUAUGACAUUGCAAUAUUUAAAACAUAAGGUAUGAGAUUGUUAUUGAACUCAUAAUUGAGCUAGUUUUUUGUAAUUUACCAUAUACUAACCGUCAUGCACGUGCUCACGAGCAUGUAGAAGGCAUUUUUUGAAGGGAGUUUUAACGAAAAGCUUGCGGUACUGUUCACUUUAACAAAAAAUCACAUUUUUACACUAAAAAAAUCAAACCUGAUACUAUUCACUUCAUCCUUUAUUUUUUCCUUAUUGUUAAAACUUAAAGUUUUCAAGCCAUUUUUAUUAGUUUUUCUUUUUUUGAAUCACAGCGUGUUACGUGCGAAUUACAUGUUUUAAAUGUAUUUAUAUGCGUAAUUUGACAAAAGGAAAGUCAAAUAUUUGAAGUAAAUGAAUAAUCUUAGAUCAUACUAGAAGAAACCUCUCAUAAACUAAUUAAAGUAGCUAAAUCCACAUAAUAAAAUCAGUCUCUAUUGAAUUUAUAUUAAGAAUAGAGAAAAUAAUAUUUAAUAAACAACUGAUUUAAUCAUAUUAUUGCUAGCCCAAUGGGAGGCUAAGUUCAUCCCUCCCUCUUAGUGUAGAAAAUAUAUAUCGCUUGUGACAAAAAAAAAAUCAUUUGACAACUAAUUUAAUCACAUUAUUAACCGCGAAAGACCUUUUUUAUAACCGGCAUUAUACGCCUCUUAAGUUGUUUUGAAUGUGUUUAAAUAUAGAGAAAAUAAUAUUUAAUGAAUAACUGAUAGAAUCACAUUAUUGUUAGCCUAUUGUAAGGUACUAAUUAUUUUAAAAAAAAACUGUACAAAAAAAUUAAUUAUUAAAAAAAUACUAUUAAAAUGAUGAAAAUACUCCUGCCACAUUUAAUGCAUUAUUUUGAAUUGCUUUUGAAGUUUUUUGUUUAAUUAUUUUUAUGUGAAGCUUGUGACACUAAAAAAAACACUGUUCAUUGGGCCAUUGGCUUCAUAUAUAAAGAUUAUAUAUGUAUAAGUUGUCAAUAUACGACUAAAAUCUAAUGGUCUUCUUCUUCUUACAUGCAAUGCAUGAUUCAGCCAGUCGGAAUCUAAGUGUUGGUCGUUUAAGUUCACGCCGUCGAGGAGAGCAAGUUCUGCACAUGUACAAUAUGAAGAUGAAGUUGAUGAUGAGGAUACUAUUACUCUGCUUCCUCAGCUGCUUCUGGUUUCAGCUGUCCUUUGCUCAAAAUGCUACCACUGAUCCGUCUGAAGGUUCUCUCUCAAUCUCUCUCCCCAACCACCACCAUCCCUCCAACCACCUCCCCCCCACCCAAACACCACACACACACACACUUUGCCACAUUUAAGGGUUUUGACCAGGAACUGGCCUUUUUUCCCUCAACAAAAUGACAUUUUAAGUGUUUUUUGACCAUAUGAAAUGAAGUUUCGAAGAAUUUAUUUGUAAAGCCCUUUUUCUUCCCAUAUGCAAAACAUCCAAAAAUCAAGGGUAAUUGUUCCUUUGUAAUAAUCAAUUUGAUCUUUCGUUUGGUUCGAGAUAGUCUGGUAAGUAGUAACACCAGUCAAAUUAUGGUGUGAUAUAAUCUAAUACACACAAGGACUGAAUUAACUGAGAGUGCAGUGAGGGCGUUGAACUCAAUAUUUCAACAAUGGGACACACAAGCAGUGCCGGGGCAGUGGAAUAUCAGUGGAGAACCCUGCAGUGGAUCUGCCAUCAACGGCACCGACAUUGGUAGCCGCGAUUUCAACCCAGCCAUCGUUUGCAACUGUUCUUACGACAACAAUGCUACUUGCCACAUCACCCAACUGUAUGUUAAACUACUCUCUCUUGAUGAACAAGAUUUCCAUGCCACUGCUGAUUUUUCACUUGCUACCUAUAUAUGUUAACGUCAUAAUUUGACUGUGUCCAUCCAUUUUAUGUAGUUCUAAAUGUUCAAUCUUUUUGCUUUCCAGGAAAGUGUAUUCUCUUAACAAACGAGGGGUGUUUCCAGAAGAAUUUGAGGCUCUGAGAUAUCUCACAUUUUUGUAUGAAUUUUUUCCAACUCCCUUUUCUGUUUUUGGUUCAUCAAAAUCAUAUAUUGGAUAUUAAAAAUUGUAAAAUUAUCAGAGAGACGGGCCAAAAGCUCACUUCCAACAUUACUGAUACUGUCUCCAACUUGGUAAUUACCACCUGAACAAUUCGUCAGGUGUGGGGUUUAUCUCAAAAGGCCUCGGCAUUAAUUGGAGUGGGAUUUGGAUAUUUAAACUCUUCUUUCUUUAUUUCUCUAGCCGAUGUGGGAUUUCAACAAAAAUAUGGUGAUGUUGUAAGAUUAAGAGUUAACGGUUACACUUCCUUUCAAUUUUUGUAGGUGGAUCAAUCAGAAUUAUUUCACCGGUCCCCUACCGGCAUUCAUUGGCAAUAUGUCUGCAUUGAUUGUAUUGUAAGUAGUGACAGAACAUUUCUUUAAGUACUCAUACUUCUGAUGAGACCCGUAGCAAUUUGUAUACUUCAUUUUGAAUAUCAUAAUCUACAGUUAUGUUCUUUACACAUUUUCGCUACUAUUUAUGCCGUAAUCUACAAAAAAAUCAUUAUGCUUUUAUUGAAUAAUGCAGUACUAGUUUCCUGUUAUGUAAUGUAAUUAAAUUUAAUGGUGGUAUCUUUCACUAACUGAUAUCUCCAUUCAGGUCAAUUAGAAUCAAUUCAUUCUCUGGGCCCAUCCCCAAGGAGCUUGGAAACCUUAAGGAGCUAACUGUGCUGUAAGCCAUGAAAAAUUAGAGAGCGUACAAUAAAAUUUUGUGUCGUAAACAUUAGAUAUAGAACCUGUUGUUAUGAAUGAACAAUCGAAGAACAGAAAAUGAGAAGGAUAACAAUGGAAGAAUUUUCUGAAGGUUUCUCUUUCUCUGCAAAAUCUAGCAGAGCAUAUUCUCUUCAUCUCUAUACAAUUCACACACUCUGUGCUUUACAUAACCGUUAGAAUCCAAGGUGGAUUCUCUCUGUUCACAAAACAAUCUCAGCCUUACAUCUAGCUAGUUGCUAGGAUCAUUACACCUGGCAUUAUUUGCCUUGCUACAUUAGAGCUGCACACUUGGUAUUUUAAACUCAAGUGGAUACACAAAUUUGAUACACAACUUAUUUCCUAAUCAGCUAUAGACUUACAGUUCAACAUGACUUGCAGGAGCAUCGGAACAAAUAAUUUCUCCGGAACACUCCCUCCAGAACUUGGUAAUUUAGUCAAGCUCGAGCAACUGUAAGUGCUUCGUUAAAUCAUCAAAUUUGAAUGACAUGUUAAUCCCCUACGGAUGAGCAAAAGUUGCGCUUUAUCGUAUGAAAUGGGUACUCAUCAAUUGCCUUAUGAUUUUCACAGCUACAUAGACAGCUGUGGACUCAGUGGUGAAAUUCCUUCAACAUUUGCCAAGCUCACCAACAUGCGAGUCGUGUAAGAAUGGCUCUUAAAUCGUAUUUUAGAUUUGUUCGUUUAUCCUGUACUUUGAGAUUGCUUUUCUUGGAUGAGCUCACUAUAAUUCAACUUUUUGAAUUUUAGCUGGGCAUCGGACAAUCCUUUCUCAGGAAAGAUACCUGAUUUCAUAGGGAAUUGGACACAACUCCUUCAUUUGUAAGUAGAGAAACCUUUGAUCUUUUGCAGUUUAUGAAAGCAGACCUGAGAUGGAUAAUUUGUUCACAAGCUUCUUAUAUGUUUCUGUAGGGAAUUUCAAGGGAACUCUUUCGAAGGCCCAAUACCAACCAGCUUUUCUCAACUGACCUCAUUGAACUAUCUGUAAGUACAAAUGUUUCAUAAAUUGUAAUUCUCUCUCUCUUUCUCCGAAGACGGGAUUUCAGUUUAUUUUGCAUAUAAUGAUGUAGGCUAAUCAGUGAUAUAUACAAUGGGAGCUCCUCUCUUGAUUUCAUAAAAAAUCUGAAAAACUUGACUGAAUUGUAAGUGAAGAUUCUCAUCGAUCCAGAUACUUUCAUCUAACUUCUUUUUCCUUUUGAAAUUUGAUAUCUUACUCCAUCUUCUAUUUAUCAAAUUUUAUGUUUUUGGAAUACAGAGGACUACGAAACGCAUUAAUCACUGGUACCAUCCCAUCUGAUAUUGGAGAAUAUCAAAGUCUAAAGACACUGUACGUACCAACGAGACCAAUUAGUUUUCUUUCAUUCUGAUUCUUCUCUCAACUUAUCGUUGGUGUGCAGGGAUCUGAGUUUCAACAAUUUGACAGGCCAACUCCCAAGUUUUUUGUUCAACAUGCGUUCUCUUAAAUCCUUGUAAUCCCCGUCCUUAUUAUUAUAUUUUGCUUGCCUUAUCAUACAUAAGUUAUCAAAUCUUUAACAUUCCCUACUUUGAUUGAAGAUCUGGACUAAUCCUUCUAGAUUUUGUGCACAUCUGACCUUUUUCUUGCUCAUCUCUUUUUCUUUUCUGGGUGCCUUCUACUAUAAUCGAAAUGGCCAGGUUUCUUGGAAACAAUAGUCUCUCCGGAUCUCUUCCGAGCCGAAAGAGCGAUCAACUUCAGGCUAUGUAAGUCUAUGUUUCUUAAAGUAGUCAUAUAGAACGCACGGUGCAUGUAUGUGUAUGUGUAUGUGUAUAAUCGUAAGCAUUCUAAUCCUAUCUUACACAAGUUCUUAAUAACUUUCAUGCAUUUUGUGUCUUUUGAUUCUAUUUUGUUAUUUGCAGAGAUUUCUCUUACAAUUUUUUAUCAGGAAGCUUUCCCCGGUGGGUGACCACAAUACCGCAACUGUACUUGUCCUUUUCUCUUUCACCUUCAUUUUACAGUUUAAAUCACCAGAAUACGUUCGGACAAAAAAUUAUCGUUGAGAUUCGUUUUCAAAGUGCUACUUGCCUACUAAGUUUUCAUUUGAUAAAGAUAUAGUUCUUCAUAUGUUGACUGAUUAAUGAUUUUAUGCAGGAACUUAGUGGUCAACAACUUCACAUUUGACAGUUCAAACAUAACGUGAGUUGAAGUUUCUCUUACUCGUUUUAGACAAGCAAUACUACUCUUCCACUACAUGACUCUAUUUGGAUAACUAAUAAUUGUUCUCUGUGUUUGCAGUCUUACUGGAUUGAAUUGCCUCCAGAGAAAUUUUCCAUGCAAUCGAAAUACCCCGCGAUGUAAUCUGCUCUUAUGUCACCCAUCAUUUACUAUUUUAAAGCAACAUCAUGUUAGAGGAAAAGGCAUUGCUUCUCUAGUUAUGUAUACAUAUGGAUAUAGAUUGCAAGCAUGUUUUCAUAAGUUCAGUAAUACGCAUAACUGGUUAGAAAUAUGUGACUGAAGAACAUUAGUAUGAGUCUUCAAUUUGAAGUUUCAUCACUAAUUAUGGGAAGAUUCUGGUAUUACAUGAAACUUACAGAUGCAAACUUCUCAAUCAACUGUGGUGGACCGCAAAUGAUGGGACGUGAUGGCAUAUUGUAUGAGACUGAAGACUCAGCUCUUGGCCCAGCAACAUUCAGUGUAACCAGUACAGAGAAAUGGGCUGUCAGCAAUGCCGGUUUGUUUUUUGAAACAGAGAACCCACCGUUUCUGGUUAAGACCCAUGCACAAGUCACCGGAACAGAUGUGACCCCGGAGCUUUUCCAGACUUCAAGAGUGUCCCCAGGAUCACUGAGAUACUAUGGCCUGGGCCUUGAGAAUGGGCCCUACACUGUAACAUUGUACUUUGCAGAGACGGUUUAUGAAAGUCGCACUUCGCAAACUUGGCAAAGUCUAGGACGGCGUGUAUUUGAUAUCCAUAUUCAGGUAAGACUGCUUAUAGAAUAAAAAUUCUAACUUAUUUGAAGUAAACACCUCAUUGGACAUGUUUUCGAUGUUUUAAGCUACAUUAACUAAAGCUAGUGUUACCUACGUCUUCAUUUGGUUGCUAGGGUACCCGCAGGACGAAGGACUUUGACAUAUCGAAGGAGGCAGGUGGUGUUAAGCGAGCAGUUGUGAGAAAAUUUAAUGUUAGCGUGUCAGAGAAUUAUCUUGAAAUUCAUCUGUUCUGGGCUGGUAAAGGGACUUGUUGCAUCCCCGAUUAUGGCGAUUUUGGCUAUUCCAGCGAUUACACCAAUUGCGGCGAUUACGGCCCACUAAUAGCAGCUGUCCAUGCUGCUUCAGGUAUAGUAUGUGUUAAUUUAUAGAGAUUUCCUGUGAGUGGUUUAAAUGUAUUUUUCUACUGUUAAUUGACACUGAAUAAUUCAUCUGUUUUAUCACUCAGAUUUUACACCAACAGUUUCCGGGCUUCCACCAACUACUCCAGGAAAGAAGAGCAAGAUUGGGUUGAAAGUCGGUAUUGCAGUUUCUGUUGGAGCUAUGAGCUUGCUAUUAAUAUUUGCGAUUCUAUAUAUGAGGAGGAAAAAAUCAGAAAAAGAAGACGAUGAAGGUAAACGACCAUAUCAUUACUGGUACCCAAUUCAGGUUUCUCUGCUUUGACAUUAACACACAGAAGUAAGAAUGCUUUCACGAAAGUAAAACUUUUGUCACACUGUUUCGUGAAUGUGCAGAUAUUCUAGGACUAGGCCCCCGGCCAUAUACUUUCAGUUAUGCUGAAUUGAGAGCUGCAACUGAAGAUUUUAAUCCUUCAAAUAAGCUAGGAGAGGGAGGAUAUGGCCCCGUUUAUAAGGUGAAAUCUGUAUUACAUCAAUAUCAUGUGCUUGAAGUAAUGACAAGAGAAAGGAGAAAUUGAGAGAAGAAAAUAUAGCUUCUGUUUUCUUUCCUUUCACGUCACUAAAUUGUGUUUAUGUGUACAUUGUAGGGUACACUUUCUGAUGGUAGAGUAGUGGCUGUGAAGCAACUUUCAGUAGCAUCUCACCAAGGGAAGAGUCAAUUUGUAUCUGAAAUUGCUACCAUAUCUGCUGUGCAACAUCGGAAUCUAGUGAAAUUGUAUGGAUGCUGCAUCGAAGGCAGCCACUGCAUUUUGGUUUAUGAGUAUCUUGAAAACAAGAGCCUUGAUCAGGCACUUUUUGGUACAAACUUAUCUACUUUUAGGUUGCAUAGAAACAACAUUGUUUGCAGUUUCAAGCACUCUAAAAUUGUUAAGAAAUGUUUUUGAUUGGAUGUGUUCACUAAUAUUUCAGGAACAAGUAACUUGCACCUUGACUGGCCUACUCGAUUCAAUAUAUUGUUGGGAACAGCAAGAGGACUUGCUUACCUUCAUGAGGAGUCAAGGCCAAGGAUUGUACAUCGAGAUGUCAAAGCGAGUAAUAUUUUGCUCGAUGAAAAACUCUCCCCAAAAAUAUCAGAUUUUGGACUGGCAAAGCUUUAUGAUGACGAGAAAACCCACAUCAGCACCCG